UUUGCCCACAUGGGUGUAGGACCUGGAAACGCUGGUCGAGGGUUGUUGUUCGGGGCUUGACCUACAAUCGGUAGGUUGUUGACUUCAGGCUCGGAGUCGGACCCAUCUGAAAAGCCUUCUGCGAGGUGAUCAUCCAAAGGGAUUGGAUGAUCAACUUCGGGCUCUUCAUCGAUCCACCCGGCAUUGCCUUCAUUGGGAAAGUACGGGUCGCCAUGAUGGAUAUCUAGCCAUCAAGAUCUACGCGAGAAUAGAGGUAUAAGAAUAUAGUAUACGUGUAACUAGUAGCGCAAAAUACUCCUAUAGUAUUUUAAGUUUAAGUUCUAUUGAUCUUCUUGUGGUAUUGUUGGUAAGUUUUUAGACUUGCUAACCUAUCACAACCAUUCUAAGGCAUGUGCUAAUCACUCCUAGGAUCAGCAUAGUUGAUCAGGCUAUGCCAUUCCCAGGACUGACCAUACAUCCCCGAGCUCACUUGUGAUAUUUAACAAUCGUAAUACUUUUGUUCUUGUCAUUGUGACACUUAUUUUAGUAUGAAUGCAGACUAGUAUACUUAGUUAAAUAUUUUAUUAUUUUAAGUAUAGACUCUUGGUCAGAGUUUAAUCCCCAAUGGGUUUAUAGUUUAGUAUAUCUUUUAUGGGUUGAUAUACUCAAUUCACUAUAAACAAUGCUCUGAUACCAAUCUGUCACACCCCAAAACCAAGAACGGCGGAAACGUUCUGGGGCGGAGGACGUCAUGUAAGGUAAUCACAACACAGUAAAUGUAAAUAGGCAAACAACAUCAUCCAUUGCAUUAAAUAUAUAAAUUUAAUACAUGCGUGUUCUGUACAGUUUUAGACACCAAAAAUAUAACGUAAAUCAAAAUAAUAAAAUGAUGAGUCUUGAGUACGCUCCAUCAUCUCAAAAGCUGGCAUCGGUACCUGUCUACUGAUGACCUGAGAAUACAAGUUAUUUUGAAAGAGUUUAUCAGCAUUAAGCUGGUGAGUUCAUAAGUAUUUUAGUGUCAAUGUUCAUUGUCAAAAACGUUUGAACUUGUCCCAAUGUAUAAGUUUGUAAAAAUGUAAAUAAAUGUUUAAAAGUAUUUGCAAAAGUUUGAAUCUCUCAGAAAAUCCUAUAUUUUCUAUAAUAGUAACCUUCUACCAAGGCUUAACUGUUUUGUAAACUCGUCUGUUGUAAAAGUGUGUGAUUACCCAAGUAUAACUAUCAUUUGAUAAAAUAUAGUUUGUACAUUAAUGCUUAAGUGAGAUUAUCACCAAAAUAUGUAAUGGGUAAAUCAUUGUAGUACUGUAGUUUUGUAUAAUAAGAACUACUGUUGUACUAAUUACUACUACCUUAAACCGGAUUUAUAUUAAGGUAUAAUGUGAUAAUUGCACCAUACUAUCGACUGAUAACAACGACAUAAAGAACGGUCGUAAUAACGGAAUGACGUUUGGCACCCGCAGACCUGCAGGUCCGGCUGUAGCUAGCAGCAAGGUGUAGGAUAGUCAAUCCAGUAUAGAUCUAUACGCAAACUCAACGCUCUCCCUCCAAGAGAAUUCUGGCUACAACUCGGGCCAUGACAUUUAAGGCAUGCUCCGAUACAGUGGAUCACAUUUGUUAUCGUAUUCUUGCAUGUGUGAUGAAAUGUUUCUUGUUCUAGUAUAGUUGUAUAUGUUCUCGUAGUAUAGUUGUAUAUAUUCUCUUCCUAGUAUAGACUCAUGAAUGAACUGACUCAUUGAUCUAGCAGUUGUAAUAGUAUGAUUCUGUGUUACCCCGAUGGUAACUUGUUAACAGUGCGUUUAGUACAUAUGAUUAUGGAAGUACUUUUAUGUCUAUAUAUGUAUAUUUGAUAUAUAAUUAAUAUGGAAACGACCUUCGGAUGGUCACCCAAAAUCCUAUCAGACCACAUCCAAAUCGAGGAAAAGGAAACAAGGUGGAUAGCCUUCCUAAGCCCUUUAAACAUUAUUUAUACGUCUAUACAUAUAUGGGCAUGCAAUUUGUAAUAUAAAAGCAUAAAUAAGUAUUUAUAAGGCAUUUGAAACAUAAGUAUUAUUUUUAAAGAAAGAUUGACUUGAUGUCAAUCUAUAAAACCAUUUGAAGGUGUAGAUUUGAUUAAAACAGUUUAAGUAUAAGGAACAUUUGCUUAAAUCACAGUUGCAGUGUAAAUUCGAAAAGUAAAUGGGUUUGGAAAACAUUUAGAAGUAAAACAGUUUGAUAGAUAGUUUGAAUAGUGAUAAAACCACUGAUUUCCCUAGUUAUUAAUCACAUGUGAUUAGUACAAUCACAUGUGAUUGAAACAAUAACUAUAAGUAUUUAACUUGUAUUCCCCCCCUUUUGAAAGCAUAUAAAAGCAUUUAGAAUAUUUAACAGGUUGAUUAAGGGGUAUGAAACUCACUUGAUUGAUUGAAGAAAGCGAGAUGGAAAACCGGGCAGAGUUUCGUCUCGGAAAACGGAUUUUUCUCGGGAUUCUCGGGAAUCUCGGGAGUAAAAUCGACCCUCGGGACUUGAGCAAAAAGACCAGAGCUUCGGGUUAUAACGGGCACGGAAAACGAGACAAAGUUGUGAGAGAGAGGAGAGAAAUGAGCAACAUUUUCGGAAAGCCUCGCAUCCUAUUUAUAGGAAGGCUGAACCGCCUCCGAACGCGGGGCGUACGCUCGUACGCAGCGCGUACGCGUACGUCAUGCAUGACCGAAGCCUCGACUGCCUCGGUUCGGAUGGGACGGGUUGCUGGGUACGCGGGUCGGAUGGGACGGCGGGUCGGACGGGACAGCGGGUCGGACGGGUCGGAGCUUCGGACGGGUCGGACGGGUUAGAACUCUUCGGAUAGUGCGACGUGGACGAUCCGAGACCCUCGAUCUCAGUACGCGGGGCGUACGAAGGUACGCAGGGCGUACUUCGGUCCAAUCCGAUGACUCCCCUUCGGAUAUUACCGGGAAUUUAUAAUUAAAUUUUUAUUUAUUUUAAAUAAACUUCAAAAAUUCAUAUCUCUCUCAUACGAACUCCGUUUUUGACGUUCUUUAUAUCCUCGCGAAGGUGAGACCAUGAUCUACGACUUUCGUUUAGAUUCCGUUGGCAAAUUCCGAAAUUAUUUUUAUUAUUUAUUUAUUAAAAUGACGUGAUUAAGGAAUUUCUUCAAAAAUUCAUAACUUCCUCGUCCGAGGUCGGAUUUGGACGUUCUUUUUAUGUACGCAAACCUUGAUAUGAUUUCUAUUACUUUAAUUAAUCCGAAUAAGAUUUUAGGAAGGUUACAUUUUGACCUAAAUUUGAUCGGUUUUACAUUACAUUGACUCAAAAUAUCGGGUUGCCACAGUACUUGUUCUCAAGAGCAAAGAAAAUUCAAGAAAGUAGUUGUUAUUACUAUAUAGAAACAAAGGUAUGUAUUCUAAUCUUUUAUUUUUGAAUUUCAAAAAUUUUAGAUGCAUGCUAGGGUUUUCUUUUGUGUUCAUUUGUUGUAUGUCUAAUAGAGAAAAUAUAGAUCCAAAUUAGGGUUGCAUGCACACAUAAGAUUGUUUGUAUAAAAACCAACAGUGGUAUCAGAGCUAUUGGUUGUUGUUUUCAAUUAAAUUUGAUACAAUAGUUUGAAUUUGACAAAUUAGGGUUUAUGGAAAAUAAACCCUAGGGCUUGGAUUUUCGAAAUUAGGGUUUCAAAACGCUUGAUUUCGAAAUUUGUUAGGGUUUCUUGAACCCUUUCCUUUAGCAUCAAGUUUUCGAUUUUAGGGUUGUCUAACCCUAGAUUUCGAAAAUGCCUUCCUUCCCAAGAUAAGAUUUCAAAAUUCUAGGGAUUAGAAUAAUAUUAUCUUUGGUAAUUAUCUUAUUAAUUGUUUAAGUGGAUAAUUAAUGAUUUUGAAAUAUCCCUUCCCAAAUUUUCGAAAUCUAAGGGAUAAAGGGAUUAGGUUAAAUCAUUCAUUUAAUUUAAUGGAUAAUCCUAUGAGAUUUAAUAAUUUAAGUUAAUUGUUUAAUUUUGGAUAAUUAUUAAAUCAAUGUUUUAAUAUUUAAGAUUUUAAAUUAAAAAGUACUAAUUUCAAAAAUUUUAAAUUAGAUUAAAAACCAUAGUAUUUUGAAAUGUUUAAAAUACACCCUUAUACUCUACAUAUAAUUAAAAGUUUAAUAUUAUAUAUGUAUAAGAAAAGUCAGUCUUACUGUUAGUAAAUCUCAUUCACGAAUCUAGUCUAUAAGGGAAGUUUAAGGAAGCGGCCUAUAAAAUGACCGUCAUUGGGUAUCCAUUUUUAUUGUCACACCCCCGAAUCGAAGAGUACAACAGAAAUGUUCGGGGGCUGGCAUGACUUCAUCUUGUAAUAUCAUCACAGUGGUUGGUUGCUUAGGUCUUGUGGUUUGACUUAGGUUUGAAUAUCGUAACUUCUUCAUAUGAUCUCAAAUUUUAGCGAUCUUUAUAUCAACGUAUUUGUAUAUGAGUUUACUACAACUUUCGUUUAAAUUAAUCAUAUUAAAAAGUAAUGUAUGUUUAGUUACAAUAUUUAUAUGCAUACGUUCUUUAUGAAUUUAUAUAUGAACGUUUUUUUGUAUAAAAUCAUAAGUAGAAAUAUAUUACAUUUCAAUGCUAAUAACUAUAGUAAUAUGUGUUUUGAUAAAAAAUUAACAAACUAAUUUCGUAACCGGAUUAGUUAGUGUGGUGUGAUGUUGUAAAUAAUGUUAGUGAAAGUAAAGUGCUUAAGAUCUAGAAAUGUGUCGAAGAUCUUGGUUGUGCCCAAGAUUUUGGGUAAAAAAUAACGAAGUUCAGAAAACAGGUUAAUAAAAGUGUGUUAUUUCGUAAUGAAAAUAAGUGUAUUUGGGACAAAAAUAAUGUUAAAUUGAUUUAACAAGUGAAUUUGUGUAAUAAAGUGUAAGAUACGCAAAAAGGUACCAAGAUACCAAAAGUAUGUUAGUAAUUUCGACAAUGAAAACAGAUUAAUAAUUAGGUAAAUGCAAGAACACAACAAAUUACGAGGAGAGUCCUUAAUCCUUUUGGAUCUCCGACAUAAAACCUUGGGAGGUGAUGAAACCACCUGCUUUAGAACUUAUAUUAAAUCGAAAUAAAAUUACAAGUGCAAGCUGAUCUUAGAAAUGAUGUAAAAGUGCUCAAGUGUUGAGAGAAUUAAAGUGAAAAGUGGCUGUAAGAUCGUGUUUGUGAAUGAUAGUAAACUAAGCUUUAUAUACAUAACAAUAGUAACUAAAGUUCCAACAUUCUCUUCUUUAAUACAUGUUUGGCUUGACUUUUACGAUGGUCUUCAACGUUCAUAAGACAUUGACCACAUAUGAUUUGACCUAGUCUAUUCCUUUCUAGUCAAGCUCUUAAUUCCUGCAUAAGAUAUUACAAUAAAUACGAUGACAAUCCAAGAUAUUGGUUAAAUCCAAGAUCAUGGGCUUGCCUGGGAUGUUAGUACACGUUAAAGAUAAAAAAAAUAGUAAGCUAGAAAUUCUCCUCAUAACAAUUUCCCCCAAAAAUGUUUAAUCCAUGAUCCAGGGUUAUUGGAGAUUUCUAGGUGCAAUAUCCAUUCAACAAAUUGUGACGUGACUUCGCUCGAUUCUCUAAGUUCAAUCUUAUCUAUCCGUUCUUAUAGGAACUUUGAAUAUUCGGAUGGCCUAGAUUGUCAUAACAAACCUUUCUAUAAAUCUAAGUCAACCUUCAUAUUUAGCUAUAGUCGCAAGGGUUCUUUUUCUUCGUUCGUUCUCAGGUUUAUCAUGGGCAAGAAGCUUACCAGGUCUAGGCCUAGGUCCAAUGCUCUGGUUGAUAAAGAUUUCAUUAAUUUGGGAAUGUUGCCCCAAGAUGAGAGUGAGACCAACACUUUUUGCAGUGUUGAUAUUGAGUUACAUCGAUCAUCAUGUGAUUUUCCUUCCUGCACCAUUUUUAGGGUUCCCAAGUCAUUUCUUAGAUCGUAUUAUCUCUCCUCAAUUUGGAUAUGCUUUUACGAAUUUCCCUUUCCUAUUGGUUUAUCAUUCCCUUUUCCUCCAUUGAUUUCAGAUUUAUUUGAAGUCACUGAGUUGCUUAUGCUCAAGUUAUGCUAGUUGUUUGGCGUAUCUUGUUUUGGGUUCAUCAUCUAAAAGAGUCUAGAUGUAUGGAUCUCGGGUUACCCAAAAUUGAAAGUGUUAACAAUAUUCAAACUUUUAGGUAUUCUUGGGUCGUCUUGAAGAUCAAAUCUUCAAAUCCUUCUUUGGUUUUGAAUAGUUCUCCAACUGAAAAUAUGAUUGGAAGAUCUUUCUCCACCCAAAGAUUGGGUGAUAGAGGGCAAGAUCAUGUUUGUUUGCUUUUCCUUAUUUCUUUCCAAAUCCUUAACUUUUUGAUUUUUCUUGGACAAUUCCUAAAUUCGAUGAAAUCUACCUGGCUCGUGAAGAUAUUGAGAAUAGAAUUCAAAAAUUUUUGGAGCUCUCUGACGAAAAAAAUGUUUUAAGGCCUUGGCUAACUGCAUUUCUGAAGAAAUUUCACCACUGCUUUGGUGGCCAAGGAUCCAGAACCAGUUGGCAUAUUUGCAGGUAAGUUACCAAUAUANNNNNNNNNNNNNNNNNNNNNNNNNNNNNNNNNNNNNNNNNNNNNNNNNNNNNNNNNNAUAUAUAAUUGGUUAUCUUUGGUUGGGAUAUUAAUCAAGUUAUCUUUCUCGGGUCCUCGUCAUACUCAAUCAGGUGUUCCUUUUGGUUCUUUUUUCAAUGUUGAGGAUUUCGUAUCAUCAACACGUAUUGUAAAAACAUAGAAGCCUUCUUCUUCUUCUGGUGUGAGAACGCUGGAAGUCAAGUCCAAAAGUCCAGAGCCCAAGAAUGUUGGAUUAGGUGUCUAAGCCCAUAACUAUAAUUGGUAUGUACUUGAAUUGAUAGUGGCAUGGUCAUUUUUGGUUGCCUUCACACUAGCAACUUGACACGAUGAUUAAUUGAGGAAGAGGAAGAAUUUAUUAUUUGGAAUAAUAAAUUGAUUUAUUAAUAUUUUGAUGGAAAUAAUAUAUUAAUUAGAAAUCAUAUUAUUAAAUAAUAUUUAUCAGAAAUUAAUUUUGGGAUUAAAUGAACUAAUUAAAAGUGCAGGGGUUGUUUUGCAAUUUAUUGAUAGUUGUGGAAUUUAGCUCUUCGACCAUCCUAGGAGGGAUGGACUAAAUCCUCUAAGGAAGGCCCUAGAAAUUUUGUUCAUGGCCUUAAGGAUGAGGAUCCAUGAGCUACUUAGGCCUUAAGCAAAGGGAUUAGGGUUUCCUUAUCUUAACCCUAACUUUGGCUCUAAGCAACCAACAACUAUAUAAAGGGCAUAAACCCUUGUGGAUUUUGGCUAGGCUAAGGUUCCUAAACCCUAAGAAAACCGAAAAUUGUCUCCUCUCUCCUUCUCUCAUAAUCAUCCUCUCGCUAAGUGUGUUUGUGAGCCAUUAGAGGUGUGACGCUUGCGACAAUAAGUUCUCAAAGUUCAAGAUCUACAAGGUUUUAGAUUGUUAUUACAAUAGAACAAUCAAGGUAUGUAUUUUGAUCCCUAUGAUGUGACUUUCGAUUAUAAUACAUAAAUGCUAGGGUUUAUUGUAUUGUGUUUAUUGUUUGCAUGUUCAAUAGGGAAAACUUAGAUCCAGUCAAUUUAGGGUUGUAUGCACACAUAGGAAUAUAUGUUUUGAUCAAAACCCAUCAGUGGUAUCAGAGCCUAGGAUUAAUUUUCUGUUGAAUAGAUGCAAUUGUGUCUUGUUCUGAGGAGAAGGGAACAAAAUCAACAUUCUGUUCAAUGAACUCGUAGAGUUGUUCAUAAAAAUCGUCGAGUUGCAUGAACUCAUCGAGCUUGGUCCUCCAACUCAUCGAGUUGGUACGCCAAAUUUGAUUUCAGAUUUUCUUGCCUAACUUGAUUUACUAAGUUUAUAUUUGGUAAUUAUCUUUUAAUAAGUCUGCCAUAAUCUGUUUUUCGGUAAUAUAAGAUAAUUAAAUAAAAAUCUAAAUGUUAGGAGAUAAUUAUGAAUUAGAUAAUGAUGAUUUAUUUGAUUAUAAUUAUCCUUAUGGAUAUGGUUAAUAAUUUAAUUAAUUGAUUAAUUAAAGGAUAAUUAAUAUAUCCAUAUUUGGUUACCAGGUAAUUAUUAAUUGGAUUAAAUAAUUACUAUUUUUGGGUUGUUUGAAAUUUAAAACUAAAAGAUAUAAUUUUGGAAAUUUAAAAUGGAAAACCCUAAAAUAUAUCCUUAUGGAUUUUGUUAAUGGUAAUUAAUAAAUCCAUAUGUGGUUUUAAUUUAAUAAAAUUAAAUGUUUAAUUUACUAAAAGAUUAAACCCUUAGUAUUUUAAAAAUUUUAAAAUAUAACCUAUAAAAUAUGUAAGAUUAANNNNNNNNNNNNNNNNNNNNNNNNNNNNNNNNNNNNNUAUAUAUAUAAAAGCCAGUCUUACCAUUAGUAGGCCUCAUUCACGAAGCUGGUCUAUAAGGGGAGUUUAAGGUAACGGCCUAUAGAAUGACUGCCAUUGGGUAUCCACUCUUAUCCACUGCUCUCUUGACUAGUGGAGGGUCGUUAGCCGAACGGGUUUGAUAGGACACUAAACUCUCAUUAAAAGUAUAAUGGAUUAUAAAGUAACUAAAUCAUUUUUCUAAAAACCCCACUCUUAGUUACUAUAUUAAAAAUGUGAAUUUGAUGCUAACCCAUGAAAUUGCACAUUUCACCUUAUUGGUCGUUAGUGGAGCGUGUGUGCUUAACCGGCACACAAAUAUAGGACUAAUAUUGUUGGUGAAGGGUUUUGAGCAUUCUAACACUCCUAAGGUGUACAUGCAACCCUAGAAACCUUGGAUCUAUGUUUUACUAUGAUACAUGCAAAAUUGUUUUUCCAAGGUUCCUAACCUAUCUAGCAUAGAAUGGGGAACUUUUAAACAUAAAUGCUAGAAGAAGAACAUACCUUUUGUUGUUUGGAUUCCUUGAGAACCUUGUGAGCCUAGCACCUCAAGUGUGAUGCCUCAAAUGUCUCACACAACACCACAACACUUGGAAUAACCUUGAGAGAAGUUCACUAACACCUCAAAAUCGGCUAGCCCUCUUUCUUGCUUGUAUAAGUCCGAUUUUGCUAGUCUAGGGGUCUUUAUAUAGUUGUGGUACAAGUAGGGUUACACCAUGUAAACCCUAAUUGUCAUGGCUUUCCACAUUCCAUGAUCCAUGGGUUUGUAACCACCAUGAACUAUCCAUGUAGCACCGUAUGGGUUUUAACCCAAUCCAUACAAACCAUGGAUCAUUAGCCCACUAUACAAUAAUAGAUGAUUUAUACAAUCAACCCCAUAUAUUUAAUUAGUCUCUUUUUGAUCACUUAAUAAAUUCCAAAUUAAUUCUUUGAUCAAUACUAAUUAAAUAUUAUUAAUAUAUUAGAGCUUAUAAUAUAUUAAUAAACCUUAAGUGUCCUUUCUCUCAUUUAGUCUAUCCAAAUGUUGCAAUGCCAUGAAACCUAAAUGGACCAUGCUAACUGGGUCAAGUACAUUCCAGAAAUACUUAUGAACUUAGACACCUAAUCCAACAGUCUCCCACUUGGAUAAGUCUAAUAACUAUAACCGCAAGAAUGACUUCAGGAACCGAUCAGCAAUUGUAGCUCUUUCAAGGUCUCGCGGAACUGAGAUGAUAAUGAUACACCAUUUUAAGAUAAGUGAUCAUAUAAUCCUCUGUUCUAGAUAUCAGCUGGACAAAUACAUGGAACAAUGUCUUACUUAUUGUCCAACAAUUUGUUUCCCAAUUUCCGAUUUGUUUGACACAGAACUUAAUUGAACACAUCAACUUAGUUCUGACUGGGCCUGGUAAAUGGGUCAUCACAAAAUCAUCGAGGGGCCCAUAUAUCGCUUCUAAUCCAAGAAGGAACAUAUAAACUUUGACUCAUAUGCUUGUUCUACUACUUGUUGAAUCAUACACAAAGCCACGUUUUAUAACAUCGAGUUACCAAUGUGUUUUCGUACAAUCAAUGUAUAACCAACUCAUAGGCAAGAAGUCAUAUCUCUAGGUUUGAAGACUUAAACGAUAUUACCGUUUCACGAUCACUCUAGAUAAAUUCCAUGAAGUGAUACUAGUGAGCGUGGGUUGAAUCCAAUACUCAGAACUUAUGAGCACUCAUGAGUGUUGUAACAACACUUUGCAAUGUCCAACAUCUUAGACAUCUACAACCAACUACAUGACAGUCUUGAUUCAUAUCUACUUCUAACAUAGGACCGACUGUGGAGAAUUUGAAUAAUAUGAUAUACCAUAACAUAAUUAUACUGGAAGUCAAAACAUGCAAAAUGAAAUGAUAGUAAACGAUUGAUAAAAGAUAGCAACACUUUACUCAAAAAGAAACAACAACUUUUAUUCGUCAUCAAAUGUCAAUUACACUUUACACAUUUCAGAGAUAGCUAACUACUAAAACUAAUAUCAUCCUUUCGCCCUAUGCACCUCGCAUGCUGGAGAUGCUUAACCCUAUCUAGUCCCUUCGUGAGGGGAUCUGCCAGGUUCUCAUCCGACGAUACCCUCUUUGCCAUGAGUAGUCCUUCUUCUCUUCGAUGUCUGAUGAAAUGGUAUUUUCUGUCGAUGUGUUUGUAUCUCCCAUGAUCCCUUCGUUCCUUGGCUAAGGCAACUGCACUUUCACUAUCACAUAAAAUCUCUACAGGCUCCUUUAUAGCUGGUACAACUCCAAGGUCUCCAAUGAAGUUCUUAAGCCAUGUAGCCUCCUUUGUUGCCUCACUUUCCGCUAUAUACUCUGAUUCACAAGUUGAAUCAGCCACUGUCUCCUGCUUGGAACUUUUCCAUGAAAUUGCUCCUUCGUUUAAGGUAAAGACCCAGCCUGACUGAUAGCAGAAAUUAUACCUAUUAGUCUGAAAGCUAGCAUCACUGUACCCUACUACUCUGAAGUCAUCACUCCCACUGAGGGUAAGGACCCAGUCCUUAGUCCUCCGCAGGUGCUUGAGAAUGUGCUUUACCACAGUCCAGUGAGCCUUGCUAGGGUUCCCCUAAUAUUUGCUGACCAUGCUCAAUGCAAAGGUUACAUCAGGACGAGUACAAGUCAUAGCAUACAUGAUCGAGCCUACAGCGGAAGCAUACGAUACUCGACUCAUCUUUGCUAUCUCAGCCUCUGUACUCAGACUCUGAGUCUUACUCAGUCUGGCGUUACUCUGGAUCGGUAACUCUAUUUUCUUGGAAUUCUGCAUGCUGAACCAUUCAGCACCUUCUCCAAGUAGGUACUCUGACUAAGUCCAAUUAGUCUCUUACUCCUGUCUCUCAAAAUCCUUAUCCCUAGGAUAUAGGCAUCUUUUCCAAGGUCCUUCAUAGCGAAACACUUCCCAAGCCAGGACUUCACUUCCCGCAGAGUUGGGAUGUAAUUUCCUAUGAGUAGUAUGUCAUCCACAUACAAUACCAAAAAACUAACUAUACUCCCACUAGACUUGACAUAUACACAAGAUUCAUCGUCACUCCUCGAAAAGCCAAACUCUUUGACUUUCUCAUCGAAACAAAGAUUCCAUCUGCGAGGUGCUUGCUUUAAUCCAUAGAUGGAUUUCUCAAGCUUAGACACUCUAUUAGGGCACUCUGUACUGACAAAAUCCUUUGGCUGACUCAAGUAAAUAUCCUCAGCCAGUUUUCCAUUAAGGAAGGCGGUUUUAACAUCUAUUUGCCCUAUUUCAUAAUCAUGAAAUGCAGCAAUGGCUAACAUAACCCUAAUACACUUAAUCUUCGCUACUGGUGAAAAGGUCUCUUCAUAAUCAACUCCCGGAGUUUGAGAAAAUCUCUUUGCAACCAGUCGCACCUUAUAAGUGUGUACAUUACCAUCCAUGUCGGUCUUUUUCUUGAAUAUCCAUUUGCACCUGACUGUCUUACGACCUGGUACGUUGUCAACCAAGUUCUAUACUUGAUUGUCAUACAUGGAUUGUAUCUCGCUGUCCAUAGCCUCUUCCAUUUAGCAGCCUUAGGGCCUGCCAUGGCUUCAGUGUAGGUGUUAGUUUCAUCUAGACUCACCAGUGUGCUAUCACUGAUAAGUGUAUCACCUUCCGCAAUAAUAUGGAAACCAUAGUAAUGCUCAGGUGCAUUCCUAACUCUCGUGGAACACCUCAAAGGUACAGACUCUUCUGUCAGAUCAAUAGUGUAACAGCUCAAAAUUUUCAAACAAAAUUUUCAUUUUUAAAACAUAAUUGUUUCCAUUUUAAACAAUGCAUAAAUAGAUUAAUUAUUCUGUCAAAUACAAUUAUUCAAAAUCCCAAGAUCAUAAAGACAAUCUUCAGUGUGUAUCGAUCAUGCCGGCGCCUUCCCACGGUCCUCGCUAGUACCUGAAAUACAUGCACAACAACUGUAAGCAUAAAUGCUUAGUGAGUUCCCCAAUAUACAACUUACGCACAUACGCCUUUCCAGGCCCGACCUUCCGGUCCAUGUGUCUCAGGGGACUUCCGUCCCUGCUGGGUAAACCUUCCGGUCCUACCCACGCCGACCUUCCGGUCCAUCACACAACAUAUCGCCUUCCGGCCCAUAACAUAUUGCCUUCCGGCCCAUAAUAUAAUCGCCUUCCGGCCCAUAACAUACAUAGCACAUAUAACAAAUAACUUACCACAUAUAGCAUACAUAUCACAUAUCAUAUCCGACCUUCCGGUCACACAGUCAAACCCUUCCGGGUACAGUAUAGUGAGAAGACUCACCUCGUAAAUGCUGAAAGCUAGCAACUCCUGAAAUCACUCGUGCACAAUCCGACGAGCUACAACCUCCCUAUAACAUCACAUAUCUCAUUAACACUUAUAUCUUCUAAGUGUGACUAUCCCUAAGAAGUCAGACUUAGGUCAACUCUGGUCAACGGUCAACGGUCAACUCGACCGGACUCGGCGAGUACCAUGGCGACUCGGCGAGUCUAGACGUCCUCCAACUUUCUGAGAUUCCUUAUCUACUCGUCGAGUAUCCUCCUCGACCCGACGAGUUACCCCUGGAAGAAUCGCGGGGCCACCCCGACUCCACUCGCCGAGUCUGAAGAACAACUCGGCGAGUCCCAGUAAAUCUUCAAGCUACUCGCCGAGUCUGAAGAACAACUCGGCGAGUCCAUGCCAUGCAGACGAGCAACUGCUUCCUGAAUUACGUAUGGUCCCGAGAUAUACAACCAUGGGACUUUCUGGACUUCUAAACAUCUCAUUACUGGGGUAUAAACGUCUGGGUAAUAACAUAAUAACCCAUCUAAUCACUAAAUGGGUUUCAUAAACCCUAAAUUCAUAAACACAUCAAAUAACAGAAGGGAAUCCGAAAUAUUACCUGGAAUAUGCCCUCUCUGUGUCUCCAAACCGCAGAACUCGAAUCCCUUGCUGUUCCUUUAGCCAAAACCCUUCUCCUCCUUGCCCAACAAUCUCUUCAAGCCCUAAUAUCCUCCAAUCUUGCUCUAGAUGCCCACAGCCGUUUAGGGUUCCUCUCAAUCGACUAAAAACGGACAAUGACGGCAUAUAAGAGCAUUAUAUACGAUCCAAAACCGAACGGUUAGGGUUUCUGCUGAACAGCGUCGACUCGCCGAGUCCAUAUCUGGACUCGUCGAGUCCAGUCGCGGACCCGCGACCAAGUCUGCGAUCCUACUCGGCGAGUCUAGGCUCCAACUCGCCGAGUCCCCUCUCAACUCACCCCAAAAACAUAAUUAAACAAUACCUGAGAUUUCGGGCUGUUACAACUCUCCCCCACUUGGAUUAGACUUCGCCCUCGAAGUCUCACUCUGCAAAUAGUUCCGGAUGCUGCUCCCGCAUCUCGCGUUCCGGUUCCCAAGUCAUUUCCGAUCCCUUACGGUGUUGCCAUUGAACCAACACCAGAGGUACCUCCUUGUUCCUCAGAACCUUGAUCUUCCGAUCCCUGAUAGCCACUGGUCUCUCCGCGUAAUUCAGGCUCGCAUCCACCUGAAUAUCCUCCAAUGGAACCACUGCCGACUCAUCGGCUAUGCACUUCCUCAACUGCGACACAUGAAAAGUGUCAUGGAUCUGACCCAACUCCGCUGGCAACUCCAACCGAUAGGCUACCCGGCCUAUCCUUGCAAUCACACGAAAUGGCCCAAUAUACCGGGGCCCCAACUUGCCCCUCUUCCUGAAUCGAAUCACUCCUUUCCAAGGAGAGACCUUCAGGAGAACGAAGUCGCCGACCUGAAAUUCAAGCUCGGAUCGGCGCCUGUCUGCAUAACUCUUCUGUCGGCUCUGGGCAGUCAAUAACCUUUGUCUCACUCGCUGAAUCUGCUCUGUCGUCUGGAGCACGAUCUCCGUGCUGCCCAUCACUCUCUGUCCCACCUCUCCCCAGCAAAUGGGGGUCCGACACCUCCUACCAUACAACAGCUCGAAAGGUGGCAUACCAAUGCUCGAAUGAUGGCUGUUGUUGUAGGAAAACUCUGCCAAUGGUAAAUACGCAUCCCAACUACCCCCGAAGUCUAACACACACGCUCGGAGCAUGUCCUCCAGCGUCUGAAUCGUCCGCUCGCUCUGACCGUCUGUCUGGGGAUGGUAUGCGGUACUAAAAUGCAAUUUAGUACCCAGCUCCUCAUGGAAUUUCUUCCAGAAUCUGGAAGUAAAGCGCACAUCACGGUCUGACACAAUCGAGAUCGGCACCCCGUGCCGAGAUACCACCUCUCUCACGUAUAUCUCCGCCAAUUUCUCCGCCGAAGAACUCUCACUGAUGGCAAGGAAGUGUGCACUCUUUGUCAACCUAUCCACGAUCACCCAAAUUGCGUCAACUCCCCUAGCAGUCCUCGGCAAUUUGGUGAUAAAAUCCAUAGUGAUCUGUUCCCACUUCCACUCGGGGAUCUCCAAUGGCUGUAACUUGCCAUGCGGUCUCUGGUGCUCAGCCUUAACCCUACGGCAGGUCAAGCACCUCUCAACGAACCAUGCCACGUCCCUCUUCAUACAGGGCCACCAAUAUUCCUUCCUUAAAUCCAAAUACAUCUUUGUAGCACCGGGAUGGAUCGAGAAUUUCGAUCUAUGAGCCUCUUCCAUCAACGUAAUACGCGUACCGCCCACGAACGGUACCCAAAUCCGACCCUGAAACGUCAUAAGGCCUCGACUAUCCUUGACAAACUCUGAGAUUAACCCCACAACCCGCUCUUUCUUCUGCAUUUCUGGUCGCACAGCCUCUGCCUGGGCCCCACGAAUAGCGUCCAAUACUGGAGUCAUCACAGUCAGUCUCAAGCAUACGUCUCGCAAUGGAGUGCUCUCCGCCCUGCGACUCAAUGCAUCGGCUACCACAUUAGCCUUGCCUGGGUGGUACAGGAUCUCACAAUCAUAAUCCUUGACCACAUCCAACCACCUCCUCUGACGCAUAUUUAGGUUGGGUUGAUCCAUCAAAUACUUCAAACUCUUAUGGUCCGUGUAUAUCGUACAUCGAACCCCAUACAAGUAGUGACGCCAAAUCUUGAGAGCGAACACUACUGCCCCCAACUCUAAAUCAUGCGUGGGAUAUCUCGCCUCAUGAGGCUUCAGCUGCCUCGACGCAUAAGCUAUCACAUGACCCCUCUGCAUCAACACUGCACCCAAUCCCGAAAUCGAUGCGUCGCAAUAUACCACGAAAUCUUCCAUCCCUUCUGGGAGAGCUAAUACCGGGGCUUCGCACAAUCUCUGGCGAAGUGUCUCAAAGGAGGUCUGCUGCUCGGGCCCCCAUGAGAACGUAACACCCUUCCGGGUCAAUCUGGUGAGUGGCACUGCGAUCUUGGAGAAAUCCUUGAUAAAUCUCCGAUAAUACCCUGCCAACCCAAGGAAACUUCUGAUCUCAGAGGGUGACUUCGGCACCUCCCAACUCAUCACCGCCUCAACCUUGGCCGGAUCGACCAAUAUCCCUUUCUGAUUAACCACAUGUCCUAGAAACUGGACCUCCCGCAACCAGAAGUCACAUUUGGAGAACUUUGCAUAAAGUUUCUCCGACCUCAAUACCUCAAGGACCUCCCUCAAAUGCUCCUCAUGCUGCUCUCUCGAUCUCGAAUACACCAGAAUGUCGUCGAUAAAUACGAUCACUGACCGAUCCAACAUCGGCCUGCAUACCCUGUUCAUGAGAUCCAUGAACACAGCCGGGGCAUUGGUGAGUCCAAAAGGCAUCACCACAAACUCAUAAUGUCCAUAUCGCGUCCUAAACGCUGUCUUCUGGACGUCUUCAUCCCGUACUCUCACCUGAUGGUAACCUGACCUCAGAUCGAUCUUGGAAAACCAAGAUGCUCCCUGCAACUGAUCGAAUAAAUCAUCGAUCCUCGGCAACGGGUAACGGUUCUUGACCGUUAGCUUGUUCAACUCCCGGUAAUCAAUGCACAUCCGGUGUGAACCAUCCUUCUUUUUGACGAACAGAAUAGGUGCUCCCCAUGGCGAGCUGCUCGGCCGAAUGAAUCCCUUCCCCAGCAACUCCUGGAGUUGCGAGGACAACUCUUGCAUCUCUGGAGGUGCAAGACGAUAGGGCACUUUAGCAAUAGGUGCUGCCCCCGGAACCAGAUCAAUACUAAACUCUACUUGCCUCACAGGCGGUACUCCCGGCAACUCCUCGGGAAAGACAUCUGAAAAUUCGCGCACCACCGGAACUUCCUCAACUGACUUCGGUUUCUCGGAAACCUCCCGCGUAUCCAUCACAUACGCCACAAAACCCUUACAGCCCUGCCGUAGACACUGCCUCGCCCUAGCGGCCGAACAAAAAGCUGAUCCCGAACGGGUACCCUCGCCGUACACCGAAAGAACUCCCCCUCUAGGGUCUCGUAUAGUCACCAACUGACGCUCACAGUCGAUGACAGCGCCGAACCGGCUCAGCCAGUCCAUGCCCACGAUGACACAGACAUCCCCCAUCGCGAUAGGAAUCAGAUCAAUCGGGAAUCCAACCCCGAAAAUCUCUAGUACACAUCCCCGAAGAACCUCCGUAGCACAAAUCACCUUCUCGUCAGCUAUAGAAACUCUCAAAGGUCGACUCAACGACUCACGACUAACGCCGAUAUGCUGACUAAAGGCUAAGGACACAAAGGACCUACUCGCACCCGAGUCAAAUAACACUAAGGCAGGCACAGAGUUCACAAGGAAAGUACCUACGCGCAUAAUAACAUAAGCAUAACAUAUCGACAUUAAAAUAAUUACAUGAAUUACAACAUACCUGCCACAACAUCGGGCGCAGCGCGGACCUCCUCCGCAGUCAGCUGAAAGGCUCUCCCACGAGCCCUCGGGGCCUCGACCUUCACCGGUCGAGUCUCAGUAGUCCUGGCAACAGGUGCAGAUCCCUGACGAAGCUGAGGGCACUCGGCCUUCCGAUGGCCGGUCUGGUUGCAAUGAAAGCAAACCAUAAAUCCCUUGGGACACUCCCUAGCAAUGUGUCCCUCCUUGCCACACUUGUAGCAAGCACCGGCUCGACACGCCCCAUCGUGACCCUUACCGCACUUUACGCAAGUGCGGUUCUUCGAACCUCCCGUCCUCGAAUCGGCGGACUUGAUCCGCUUGGCUGCCGGCUGAGACUGAGCCGGCCGCCGGUCUGCCUGCUGAGACUCGGCCUCCUCCCUGGCCUGAGUCUCUAACUCGAUCUCACGCUUCCUGGCAUUCGCCUGAAGCUCAGUAAAAGUAUGGUAAGUGGAGUUUGACACAAACUCCCGGAUCUCCCUCCUCAGAACACCCAAGUACCGGCUCAUCCGAGCCUGCUCUGUGGCCACCAGCUCGGGGCAAAACAUCGCCCUCUCAUGGAACUUCCGCGUGAUCGCCGCCACCGAAUCAGUACCCUGCUUGAGGGUUAAGAACUCCUGAACCAAUCGUUCCCGCUCCACCGGGGGAACGUACUCCUCCCUGAACAUGGUAGUGAACCCCUCCCAUGUCACUGCCGCAGUCUCUGCCAAAGUGAAGUUCGCCGUCACGAACUUCCACCAGUCCUUCGCUCCCAGACGGAGCUGGUUCAAAGCGAACCGUACCCUCAGGUGCUCCGGGCAUGAACAAGUGUAGAAGCACCCCUCUAUAUCUGCGAUCCACCUCAUCGCAGCAAUCGGAUCCUGCGUCCCAUCGAACUCUGGUGGCUUCGUGUUGCUGAACUCUCGGAACAGCAAUGAAUCACCCCCCUGUGGCCUAGCAGCGGCCACAGCUGCGGUAGCUGCAGCGGUUGCAGCCUCAGUCAAUGCGGCGUACCGCUCGUCGAACGUCUCCAUCAGGGUGGUCUUGAUAGACCCAAACAUCUCCGGGAUCUCAGCCCGGAUCGCCGCCGCCACCUCCUCGUGGAUCAUCUGACGAAUAUCCUCGUCACUCACACCGCUCGUACUUGCUCCGUGACGCGGUCUAACCAUGAUAUCUCUGAAAUACAACAUAAAACUAUCAGAGAUUCUACCGAGUAUAAUCGUACUCGACACGCAACCCUACUCAGUCCCAGAUAUCCAGGGAUUCUUACUUGGGCCUCCCACUGACCCGGUGUCCUCGGUAGUACGGGCCCAAUACUACCGACCACACCGCAUCAAUGUUCAUCCCAAGUCCUCCUCCCCAAACUCCGGAUAGUGAGUACUCUACUUCUGAUACGCUCUAUCUACCCGCAUACUAGCAAAGCAUCUCAUAUAGCAAACUUCCCUAGACUAAGGCAUCACAAAUCAGGCCACUCUAGUCCUAUCAUGAAUACCUAGUCUUCUAGCAUGCAUAACAAUUCAUAUCAUAUAAUAUUGUAAGGUAUUUUGGGGAUCUUUACCGUUCGGGCGCUGACUGAUCGUACACACUGCUUCUUUCUUGCUUACCACAAAACCAUUUACAAAAGUUUAUGCCUUUAUUUGAAAAGUUUCCUCAAAUCCUCGGUUUGAGUUCAGUUACCCCCGAAGGUGCACCCGAAUCCCUCAAACCAAGGCUCUGAUACCAAUUGUAACAACUCAAAUUUUUCAAACAAAUUUUUCAUUUUUAAAACAUAAUUAAUUCCAUUUAAAACAAGGCAUAAGUAGUUAAGUAUUCUGUCAAAUACAUAUAUUCAAAAUCCCAAGAUCAUAAAAACAAUCUUCAGUGUGUAUCGAUCACGCCGGCGCCUUCCCACGGUCCUCGCUAGUACCUGAAAUACAUGCACAACAACUGUAAGCAUAAAUGCUUAGUGAGUUCCCCAAUAUACAACUUACGCACAUACGCCUUUCCAGGCCCGACCUUCCGGUCCAUGUGUCUCAGGGGACUUCCGUCCCUGCUGGGUAAACCUUCCGGCCUUACCCACGCCGACCUUCCGGUCCAUCACACAACAUAUCGCCUUCCGGCCCAUAACAUAUUGCCUUCCGGCCCAUAAUAUAAUCGCCUUCCGGCCCAUAACAUACAUAGCACAUAUAACAAUUAACUUACCACAUAUAGCAUACAUAUCACAUAUCAUAUCCGACCUUCCGGUCACACAGUCAAACCCUUCCGGGUACAGUAUAGUGAGAAGACUCACCUCGUAGAAGCUGAACGCUAGCAAAUCCCGAAAUGACUCGUGCACAACCGACGAGCUACAACCUCCCUAUAGCAUUACAUAUCUCAUUAAUACUUAUAUCUUCUAAGUGUGACUAUCCCUACGAAGUCAGACUUAGGUCAACUCUGGUCAACGGUCAACUGUCAACUCGACCGGACUCGGCGAGUACCAUGACGACUCGGCGAGUCUGGACGUCUUCCAACUUUCUGAGAUUCCUUAUCUACUCGUCGAGUACCCUCCUCGACCCGACGAGUUACUCCUGGAAGAAUCGCGGGGCCACCCCGACUCCACUCGCCGAGUCUGAAGAACAACUCGGCGAGUCCCAGUAAAUCUUCAAGCUACUCGCCGAGUCUGAAGAACAACUCGGCGAGUCUAUGCCAUGCAGACGAGUAACUGCUUCCUGAGAUAGGUCUUGUCCCGAAUUUCACAUGCAUGGGACCUGCUGGACCUCUAAAGGUCCUACUACAAGAUUAUAGUCGUGGGUAACAGGGCACUACAUCAUCUAAUCACUAAAUGGGUUCUAUAAACCCUAAUUUCAUAAGUACAUCAAUAUAGCAGAGCACACACGAAUUCUUACCUGGAUGAUGUAUUCUCUGUAUUCCCAAUCCUCAGAAUGUGACCCCUUGCUGCUCCUUAAGCCAAUCCUUUCUCUUCCUUGCACAACCACUCUUCUAUAACCAACAAUGGCAUGAGAUCCUUGCUCCAGCUGCACCCAAUCGAUCUAGGGUUCUUCUCAGAAGGCUAAAACGAACAAUGACGGCCAAUGAGACCCUUUUAUACGUCCCAAACCUGAACGGUUAGGGUUUCCGCUAAACAGCGUCGACUCGCCGAGUCCAUACCUGGACUCGUCGAGUCCAGUCGCGAUCCCGCGACCAAGUCUGCGAUCCUACUCGGCGAGUCUAGGCCCCAACUCGCCGAGUCCCCUCUUAAAUCACCCAAAAACAUAAUUUAAACAAUACCUGGGGUUUCGGGCUGUUACAAAUAGGAGUUUCCUCCUCAGGUUGAUUUGUUAGGGUUUGAGGUUCCUUCACCACUUGACUCUUGAAUUCCUUCAAGGUCAAUUUGCCUCCUACUGUUUCCUUGGCUCAUGAACUCUCUCUCGCGAAAGACUCCUUUCCUUGCUACAAAGACACAUUAUCACUAGGUCUGUAGAAGAGGUAGCCGAAGGAUCUCUGUGGCUAGCCGAUGAAAAUACACCUCUCACUUCAAGGUUCGAGCUUAUCGUGAGUCUCGCGCCUCACCAAAGCCUUGCAACCCCAAAUCUUGAUGUGGUCCGGAUAAAGAACUUUUCCGGUCCACAUCUCAUGAGGUGUUUUGGCAACCUUCUUUGUAGGGACUAGAUUAAGGAUAUGGGCGGCAGUCUCUAAGGCAUACCCCCAAAAUGAGAUUGGUAGUGAAGCUCGACUCAUCAUGGAACAAACCAUAUCCAACAAGGUUCGAUUACGCCUCUCAGCCACACCAUUAAGCUGUGGUGUCCUGGGAGGUGUCAAUUGUGAGAUAAUCCCACAUUCCUUAAGAUAGUGAAGGAACUAUGUACUAAGAUACUCAUCACCUCGAUCGGAUCGAAGCAUCUUAAUGUUCAUGCGCAAAUGAUUCUCCACUUCAUGUUUGAACUCUUUGAAUCUUUCAAAGGUCUCUGACUUAUGCUUGAUUAAGUAGACAUAUCCAUAUCUACUAUAAUCAUCAGUAAAAGCCACAUAGAAGCGGUUAACAUCUCUUAUGGCAGUUCUGAAGGGUCCACACACAUCAGUAUAUAUGAGGUCCAACAAACCCUCACCCAUAGCACAAGAACCGGUGAAGGUUGACUUUGUCAUUUUCCCAUGCAAAUAAGAUUCACAAGUAUCAUCUGACUUUAGGUCAAAUGACUCCAAGACUCCAUCCUUUUGGAGUUAGCCUAUGCGUUUCUUUCUUACAUGUCCAAGACGAUAAUUCCAUAAUGAUGCUUUAUCCAAGCUAGUGCAAGAAUCAAUACACAUUACAUUAUUUCCUAGGUUAUCAACAAGCGACACCGUUUCAUAUACACCAUCACAAGGUAAUGAUUUAAAAUAAAUAACAUUAUUAAAGAAAGCAUUAUACAACCACAUUCAUUAUCAAAUGAAAAGGUAAAACCUUGUUUGUACAAACCAUGAAAGGAAAUACUAUUCCUCGCCAUUUCAGACGAGUAACAACACUUAUUCAAAUCUAACAUUAAUCUACUACUUAGCAAGAGAGAAUAAAUUCCAAUUUUGGUGACAGGUGAAGCUUUCCUAUUCCCCACGAUCAAGUUUAUCUUCCCAUGCUCCACAUUCUCACUUAUUCUUAGUCCCUGCAAAUCAGUACAUAUGUGAAUACCACAACAUGUAUCAAGGACCCAAGAAUUAGAAAGCGGUGAAUUAUUAUACAAUAUAAUGUAUAUACCUGCAUGGUUGGGUUUCACUUUCCCGUCCUUCACAUCUUGCAGGUACUUUGGGCAGUUUCACUUCUAGUGCGACUUUUCAUGGCAAUAGAAGCAUUCAGCCUCUUUAGGGUGAGUAGAAGGAGUGACAAAACCUUUCUUGGUUCCACUUGAAGAGGAGCCAUCGAGGGACUUUCCCUUGGUACACUUCGAAGGGCUCUUCCUCUUCUUUCCUGUGUUUUACCCGAUUGCCAAGACAGGGGCUGUGGUAGGAGUAGGACUAGUAACAACCGAUUUACUCUUAAAACCAGUUUCUGAGUGAAGGGUUUUGAGCAUUCUAACACUUCCUAAGUGUACAUGCAACCCUAAUAACCUUGGAUCUAUGUUUGUCUAAUUAUCAUGCAAAGUUGAAUUCCAAGGUUAUAUUCCUAUCUAGCAUACAUGGGGAACAAUUUUAACUUGAAUCAUAGAUAGAAUAACUUACCUUGUUGUUGCUUGUGUUCCUUGAAACCUUGUGAGCCUAGCACCCCAAGUGUGAUGCCUCAAAUGCUUCACACAACACCAAAUGCUCUUGGAAAGACUCUUGAGAUAACACACACUUCUCAAAAUCGGCCAAGCCCUCUAGUUUCUUAGUGUAGCCGAUUUUGGUGGAGAAUAUGAUUCUUAUAUAGUGUUGACACAUCUAGGGUUACACCAUGUAAACCCUAAUGUGUCAUGACUCUUCAUUUCCAUGACCCAUGGGUUUGUAACUCCCAUGGAGCAUCCAUGGAGCAUCCUAUGGGUAGAACCCAACUUGAUAAUCCAUGGAGCCUCUUAGCCCACUAUACAAGAUAUGGAUGAUUUACAUAAUCAACCCAUAUAUUUAAUUAGUUAUCCUUUGAUCACUUAAUUAAUUCCAAAUUAAUUCUUUGAUCAACUAAUCAAAUAAUAUUAUUAAUAUAUUAGAACUUAUAAUAUAUUAAUAAUCUCCAAGUGUUAUUUCUCUCAUUUAGUCUAUCCAAUUGCAUGGUGCCAUGCAACCCAAAUGGACCAUGCCGGGUCGGGUCAAGUACAAGCCCGAAAUAGUUAUGGACUUAGACACCUUAUCCAACAGUCUCCCACUUGGAUAAGUCUAAUAACUAUAUCUCUAGUACUUCAGGAACCGACCGGCAAUCGUAGCUCUUUCAAGGUCUCUCGGAACUGAGAAGAUGAUGGUACGCCAUUUAAGAUAAGUGAUCAUAUAAUCCUCCGUUCUAGAUAUCAGCCGGACAAAUACAUGGAACAUUGUCUUGCUUAUUGUCCAGCAUUUGUUUCCCGAUUUCCGAUUUGUUUGACAUAGAACUUAAUUGAACACAUCAACUUAGUUCUGACCGGGCCCGGUACAUGGGUCAAAACAAAAUCAUCGAGGGGCCCAGAUAUCAGCUUCUAAUCCAAGAAGGAACAGAUAAACUUCGACUCAUAUGUUUGUUCUACCACUCAUUGAAUUACACACAAAAGUACGUUUUAUAACAUCGAGUUACCAAUGCGGUUUCGUACAGUCAAUGCAUAACCAACUUGUAAGUAACAAAUCAUAUCUCUAGGUUUGAAGACUUAUAUGAUAUUACCGUCUCACGAUCACUCGAGAUAGAAUUCCAUGAAGUGAUUCCAGUGAGCGUGGGUUGAGUCCAAUGCUCAGAACUUAUGAGCACUCAUGAUUGUUGUAGCCUUGUCCAACACCUUAGACCUCUACAACCCAUCAUGACAGUCUUGAUUCAUACCUACUUCCGACAUAUGACCGACUGUGGAGGUUUGAAUAAUAUGUUACACCAAACAAAAUUAUUCUGGAAGUCAAAACAUGCAAAAGAAAUAUAGUAAACGAUUGACAAGAGAUAGCAACACUUUACUCAUAAAUAAAACACCUUUUAUUCAUCAUCAAAUGUCAAUUACACUUUACAAAUUUCUGGGUUAUCUAACUACUAAAACUUAUAUCAUCCUUCAGCCCUAUGCUCCGAGCAUGCUGGAGAUGCUUAACCCUACUCAGUCCCUUCGUGAGGGGAUCUGCUGGGUUCUCAUCCGAUGAUACCCUCUUUGCCACGAGGAGUCCUUCUUCGAUCCGAUGUCUAAUGAAAUGGUAUUUUCUGUCGAUGUGUCUGGAUCUCCCAUGAUCCCUUGGUUCCUUGGCUAAGGCAACAGCACUUUCACUAUCACAGAAAAUUUCCAUUGGCUCUUUAAUAGCUGGUACAACUCCAAGGUCUCCAAUGAAGUUCUUCAGCCAUAUCGCCUCCUUUGCUGCUUCGCUAGCUGCAAUAUACUCUGAUUCACAAGUAGAAUCUGCCACUGUCUCUUGCUUGGAACUCUUCCAAGAAAUUGCUCCUCCGUUUAGGGUAAAGACCCAGCCCGACUGAGAGCGGAAAUUAUCCCUAUCAGUCUGGAAGCUAGCAUCACUAUACCCUACAACUCUCAAGUCAUCACUCCCACCGAGGGUAAGGACCCAGUCCUUAGUCCUCCGUAGGUACUUGAGGAUAUUCUUUACCGCAGUCCAGUGUGCCUUGCCAGGGUUCGCCUGAUACCUGCUAACCAUGCUCAAGGCAAAAGCUACAUCGGGUCGAGUACACGUCAUAGCAUACAUGAUCGAUCCUACAGCCGAAGCGUAAGGUGUUCGACUCAUUUCUGCUAUCUCAGCCUCAGUGCUAGGGCUUUGUGUCUUACUCAAUCUGGUGUUACUCUGGAUGGGUAACUCUCCUUUCUUGGAAUCCUGCAUGCUGAAUCUCUUCAGCACCUUAUCCAAGUAGGUACUCUGACUAAGUCCAAUUAGUCUUUUACUCCGAUCUCUCAAGAUUCUUAUCCCUAGAAUAUAGGCAGCUUCACCAAGGUCCUUCAUAGCGAAACACUUCCCAAGCCAGGACUUUACUUCCUGCAGGGUUGGAAUGUCGUUUCCUAUGAGUAGUAUGUCAUCCACAUACAAUACCAAAAAGCUAACUAUACUCCCACUAGCCUUGACAUACACACAAGAUUCAUCUUCACUCCUAGAAAAGCCAAAUUCCUUGACCUUUUCAUCAAAGCAAAGAUUCCAUCUGCGAGGUGCUUGCUUCAAUCCAUAAAUGGAUUUCUCAAGCUUACACACUCUAUUAGGGUACUCGUUGCUGACAAAACCCUCUGGCUGACUCAUGUAAACAUCUUCAGCCAACUUUCCAUUAAGGAAAGCGGUUUUGACAUCCAUCUGCCAUAUUUCAUAGUCAUGAAAUGCAGCUAUGGCUAACAGAACCCGAAUAGACUUAAUCUUGGCUACCGGAGAAAAGGUCUCAUCAUAAUCCACUCCAGGAAUUUGAGAGAAGCCCUUUGCAACCAGUCUAGCCUUAUAAGUGUGUACUUUACCAUCCAUGUCGGUCUUCUUCUUGAAGACCCAUUUGCACCCUACUGUCUUACGACCUGGUACAUUUUCAACCAAGUUCCAAACUUGAUUGUCAUACAUGGAUUGUAUCUCGCUAUCCAUAGCCUCUUUCCAUUUAGCAGACUCGGGGCCUGCCAUGGCUUCCUCGUAGCUGUUAGGGUCAUCUUGACUUACUAGUGUCUCAUCACUAAUAAGUGUCUCACCUUCUGCAGUAAUAUGGAAUCCAUAGUAAUGCUCAGGUGCACUCCUAACUCUCGUGGAACGUCUCAGAGGUACAGAUUUGUCAAUUGGCUCAACAGGAGUUUCCUCCUCAAGUUGAGGGCUAGAGUUUGAAGUUCCUUCACCGCUUGAUUCUUGAAUUUCUUCAAGAUCAAUUUGCCUCCCACUGUCUCCUUGGCUUAUAAACUCUCUUUCUCGAAAGACUCCUCUUCUUGCUACAAAGACCACAUUGUCACUAGGUCUGUAGAAGAGGUAACCAAAGGAUCGCUGUGGGUAACCGAUGAAAAUACACCUCUCGCUUCGAGGUUCGAGCUUAUCAUGAGUCUCGCGUCUCACGAAAGCCUCGCAACCCCAAAUCUUGAUGUGGUCUAGUUUAGGUACUUUACCAGUCCACAUCUCGUGAGGAGUUUUGGCAACUUUCUUUGUAGGGACUAGAUUAAGAAUAUGGGCGGCAGUCUCUAAGGCAUACCCCCAGAAUGAGAUUGGUAGCGUAGCUCGACUCAUCAUGGAACGAACCAUAUCUAACAAGGUUCGAUUACGCCUCUCAGCCACACCAUUCAACUGUGGUGUCCUGGGAGGUGUCAAUUGUGAGACUAUCCCACAUUCCCUUAGAUAGUCGAGGAACUCUGAACUAAGAUACUCACCACCACGAUCGGAUCGAAGCAUCUUAAUGUUCCUGCCCAAUUGAUUCUCGACUUCCUGUUUAAAUUCCUUAAACCUCUCGAAAGUCUCUGACUUAUGCUUGAUCAAGUAGACAUAUCCAUAUCUACUAUAAUCAUCAGUAAAAGUCAAAUAAUAACGAUUAGCAUCCCUUGUGGCAUGUUUGAAUGGUCCACACACAUCCGUGUGUAUAAGGUCCAACAAACCUUCACCCCUCUCACACGAACCUGUGAAGGGUGACUUUGUCAUUUUUCCAAGUAAGCAUGAUUCGCAACUAUCAUCUGACUUUAGGUCAAACGACUCCAAGACUCCAUCCUUUUGGAGUUGGCCUAUGCGUUUCUUGCUUAUAUGUCCAAGACGACAAUGCCAUAAAGAUGCUUUAUCCAAGUUAUUAUUAGUAGAAUCAAUACACAAAACAUUAUUUCCCAAGUUAUCUACAACAGAUACAGCUUCAUACACACCAUCACAAGGUAAUGCUUUAAAAUAAAAGACAUUAUUAUAGAAAACAUCUAUAGAACCAACUUCAUUAUUAAAUGAAAAGGUAAACCCUUGUUUGUACAAAGCAUGAAAGGAAAUAAUAUUUCUUGCCAUUCCUGGCGAAUAACAACACUUAUUCAAAUCUAAACUAAACCCACUACUUAGCGAUAAAGUAUAAACUCCAAUCUUGGUAACAGGUAUAGCUUUCCUAUUCCCCAUGAUCAAGUUUAUCCUUCCUUGCUCCACAUCCUCACUUCUUCUUAGUCCCUGCAAGUCACAACAAAUGUGAAUACCACACCCGGUAUCAAGGACCCAAGAAUUAGAAUGGGGUGAGUUAUUAGAAAUGAUAGUGUAAAUACCUGCAUGGUUGGGUUUAACUUUCCCAUCCUUCACAUCUUGCUGGUAUUUUGGGCAGUUCCGCUUCCAAUGAGCUUUUUCAUGGCAAUAGAAGCAUUCAGCCUCUUUUGGGUCAGAAGAAGGAGUAAUGAAACCUUUCUUGGUUCCACUUGAAGAAGAGCCAUCAAGGGUCCGAACCUUGGUACCCUUAGAAGAGCUCUUUCUCUUCCUCCCUCGACUUUUCCCGAUUGCCAAAACCGGAGUAGAGUUUUGAGUAGGAGUGAUAGCAACCGACUUCCCCUUAAGACCUGAUUCUGCGGUCUUGAGAAGUCCCUGAAGUUUGCUGAGGGUGACUUCUUCCUUGUUCAUGUGAUAUGUCAUGCGGAAUUGAUCAUAGCACGAUGGUAAGGAAUGCAAAAUAAUAUCUAUUGCAAGAUCCUCCGGGAAGUUCACAUUAAGCUUCAGCAAACGAUCCACAUACCUUUGCAUUUUCUGCAUGUGGCUCGUGACGGAUUCCCCGUCCUUCAUCAUGGUUGUUAUCAUGGAGCAGAUGAUUUCAUACCUCUCUUGUCUUGCACUUUGAUGGUAUCUUUCCAUCAAAUCUUGGUGCAUUUCAUAAGGGUAGAAAUCCUCAUAAGACUUUUGGAGUUCCGCUGUCAUCGUGGCCAUCAUGAUGCAAGCCACUUUCGUAGCAUCCCUUUCAUGUGCCCGAAAUUCAGCGAUCUCCUGAGGAGUUGCAGUGGACUCAUCAAUCUCCUUAAGCUCCUUGUCAAGGACAUAUUCUUUGUCCUCGUAGCGGGUAAUCAUCCUGAUGUUUCUGAUCCACUCAUUGAAGUUGGAUCCAUCAAAGGUGACUUUCCCACACAAGUUCAUAAGGGUAAAGGAGCCAUUAGGAUUAGAGCCAGAAGCAUUGUUGAAAGACAUCUGAAGGAAAGAGGACAAGAUUAGUUUAGAUAUAAGAGAGUCCUUAAUAAAACACCCAAAUGUAAUAUUAAGGCUAGGAUCCAAUCACAAUAUAAUAUAACUUAGAAGAGGUAUGCCGUAAUCUAAGCUAUAUCAUAUUUGAAAGGUAGGUGAAUGACGAUUCACCAAUUUCCACCACGAAAACCGCAAUAUUUUAGUAUUAGGUUUUUGAAUGGUUCUUAGAAAUUCCUAGAUUCUUUGAGAUUCAAUGAACUUUUCAAAGGCAUGUUUCAAUCUCGAGUGUGCCCUCCAAGUUUUGUGACUGGGAUACCGAGGAUCACAAAACGAGGUGUGAAGUAACCAUGCAAAUCACUUGGUACCCUUAAAGUUUAUCACUCAAUCGAUGUGCCGGUUAACCACACACGCUCCAUCGAUACUAUAAUAAACCCUAAGUCACCCUUUACCUACCUUGUUAAGUCCAAGUUAGUGUGCCGGUUAACCACACACGCUCCACCAACGACUUAAUCAAAGUGUAAAGUGUAAUUUCAUGGAAUAGCACCUUAUUCACAUUUUUCCUAAAGUAACUAAGAUUGGGAAUUUAAUAAAACAUUUAGUUACUUUAUAAUAUUCAUCAUACUUUGAAUGAGAAUUAAUAAGUCCUUGUCUUACCCGUUCGGCUAACGACCCUCCACCGAUCAAGCAAGCGGUGGGUGAGAGUGGACACCCAUUAAGUCACCAUUUUAUAGGCAACAACCUUAUACCCACCUUAUAGACCGGCUUCGUGAAUGAGGCGUACUAGCGGUAAGACGACUUUGUUCUUAUACAUAUAUAUAUAAUUAUUAAAUCAUAAUAAUAUAAGUAUAAGGGUUGAAUUUUAACUUUUAAAAUUCUAGGGGUUGGAACUAAAGUUUUAACUUAACUUUACUUGUUCCAAAACUUGAGGGCAAGUUUUGUAAACUUUCAAAACUUUUCAUUUCUUGUAACUUAUGAGUUUAAUAGAGUAAUAAAAUGAGGACUUUUCAUUUUUCCUAACUCUUGUGUUCUUUUAAUGUUUUUUAAUCCAAGAGACUUUUGGUUUUCCAUAACUUGAGGACAAGUUAUGGACUCCAUUAAAACACAUUAUGAUCAUGAAUUAAUCUACCACAUAGGUUACAAAUAAUUCCUAUGAUCAUCUAAACAUCAUAAGAACAAGAAUAUGAAUAUGAACACUUUCAAGAAUCAAAAUCACAUUUAAUCUUUGUAAUUUUGAUAACUAGUUGUUGUAAAUGAGUUAGAAAAGACAUUACACCUUCUAAAAUAAGUUUUCAAGUACCAAAACAUUUUAGGGUAAUGAUUCUAAUCCAUUUCCAGCAACACAAGUCGAAAUUCUGCACUCUGUCGACCCUACUCGCCGAGUGCAUAAACCUACUCGCCGAGUAGGUUGAAGAUACACAUGAACUCGUCGAGUCCUCCCCAUGGACUCGCCGAGUCCAUCAGUCAGACAGCAAGAUUUUCGACUUUCUUCAACUUUUAAGCACAAAUAACAAACAAACAAGCCUAGGCUCUGAUACCACUGAUGGGUUUUGAGCAUUCUAACACUUCCUAAGUGUACAUGCAACCCUAAUAACCUUGGAUCUAUGUUUGUCUAAUUAUCAUGCAAAGUUGAAUUCCAAGGUUAUAUUCCUAUCUAGCAUACAUGGGGAACAAUUUUAACUUGAAUCAUAGAUAGAAUAACUUACCUUGUUGUUGCUUGUGUUCCUUGAAACCUUGUGAGCCUAGCACCCCAAGUGUGAUGCCUCAAAUGCUUCACACAACACCAAAUGCUCUUGGAAAGACUCUUGAGAUAACACACACUUCUCAAAAUCGGCCAAGCCCUCUAGUUUCUUAUGUCUAGCCGAUUUUGGUGGAGAAUGGGCUCCUUAUAUAGUGUUGACACAUCUAGGGUUACACCAUGUAAACCCUAAUGUGUCAUGACUCUUCAUUUCCAUGACCCAUGGGUUUGUAACUCCCAUGGAGCAUCCAUGGAGCAUCCUAUGGGUAGAACCCAACUUGAUAAUCCAUGGAGCCUCUUAGCCCACUAUACAAGAUAUGGAUGAACCCAUAUAUUUAAUUAGUUAACCUUUGAUCACUUAAUUAAUUCCAAAUUAAUUCUUGAUCAAACUAAUCAAAUAAUAUUAUUAAUAUAUUAGAACUUAUAAUAUAUUAAUAAUCUCCAAGUGUUAUUUCUCUCAUUUAGUCUAACCAAUUGCAUGGUGCCAUGCAACCCAAAUGGACCAUGCCGGGUCGGGUCAAGUACAAGCCCGAAAUAGUUAUGGACUUAGACACCUUAUCCAACACUGAGGUCUUCAAGAGUCCUUGAAGUUUGCUAAGUUUAACUUCCUCCUUGUUCAUGUGGUAUGUCAUACGAAAUUGAUCAUAACAUGAAGGUAGGGAGUGCAAAAUGAUUUCAAUUGCCCACUCCUCAGGGAAGUUCACCUUUAGCUUCAGCAAACGGUCCACAUACCUUUGCAUUUUCUGCAUGUGGUACGUGAUGGGUUCACCAUCCUUCAUUCGGGUUGUUAUCAUGGAGGAGAUGAUUUCAUAUCGCUCUUGACAAGCACUCCGAUGGUAGCGGUCCAUCAAAUCCUGGUGCAUCUCAAAAGUAUAGUAGUCCUCAUAGGACUUUUGGAGCUCGGCUGUCAUUGUGGUCAACAUGAUACAUGCCACUUUGGUAGCAUCUUUCUCAUGUGCUUGGUAUUUAGCAAUCUCCUCAGGAGUAGUAGACGACUCAAGUUCCUUGAGCUCCUUGUCGAGGACAUAUUCCUUGUCCUCAUAUCAAGUGACCAUCCUGAUGUUCCUGAUCCAAUCCAUAAAGUUGAAUCCAUCAAAGAUGACUCUUCCACAAAGGUUCAUGAGAGAGAAGGAUCCGAUAGGGUUUGAGCCAAAAGCAACAUUGUUGGAAGACAUCUAAAAAGAAGAAAUACAAAAUUAGAUUAGAUAUAAAGAUAGUCCUUAAUAAGACACCUAAAUGUAAUAUUAUGGCUAGGACCCAAAACAAUAUUUUAUAACUUAGAAGAGGGAUGCCGUAAUCCAAGCUAUAAAAUAUUUGAAGGUAGGUGAAUGACGAUUCACCAAUUUCCACCAUGAAAAUGAAAUAAAUUAUUAGGUUUUAAUUUGUUUUGAAACUCCUAGAUUCUUUGAGAUUCAUUGAACUUUUCAAUGACAUGUUUCUAUCUCGAGUGUGCCCUUCAUGUUUUAUGACUGGGAUGUCGAGGAUCACUAAACAAGGUGUGAAGUAACCAUGCAAAUUACUUGGUACCCUUAAUGUUUAUCACUCAAUCGAUGUGCAGGUUAACCACACGCGCUCCACCGACCUAUGAUAAACCUUAAGCCACCCUUUUCCUACCUUGUUAAGUCCAAGUUAGUGUGCCGGUUAAGCACACACGCUCCACUAACGACUUAAUCAAAGUGCAAAGUUUAAUUUCAUGGGUUAGCACCUUAUUCACAUUUUCCUAAAGUAACUAAGAUUGGGAAUUUAUAAAAACAUUUAGUUACUUUAUAUUCAUCAUACUUUUAAUGAGAAUUUAAAGUCCUUGUCUUACCCGUUCGGCUAACGACCCUCCACCGAUCAAGGAAGCGGUGGGUGAGAGUGGACACCCAUUAAGCUGCCAUUUUAUAGGCAGCAACCUUAUACCCCCUUAUGGACCGGCUUCGCAAAUGAGGCAUACUAACGGUAAAACAACUUGUUCUUAUACAUAUAUAAUUAUUAUUAAACUUAUAAUAUUAUAAAGUAUAAGGGUUAAAUUUUAAGUUUUAAAAUUCUAGGGGUUGGAACUAAAGUUUUUAAAGUGACUUUACAUGUUCCAAAACUUGAGGGCAAGUUUUGUAACUUUCAAAACUUAUGAGUUAAUGGUUUAUUAAAAUGAGAGACUUUUCAUUUUAUGUAACCUAUGUGUUUCAUAAUGGACUUUAAAAGAAUGACUUUUGGUAAUCCAUAACUUGAGGAAAAAUUAUGGAUUCCAUUAUAACACAUAAUGAUCAAGAAUUAAACUAACAAGCAAGUUACAAAUAAUUCCUAUGAUCUUUUAAACUCAUAAGUUCAUGAACAUGCAUAUCAACAGUUCCAAGAAUCAUAAAUAAACCAUAUAAAACUUGAAAUUUUGAUAAUAGCCAUUGAAAAUGGAUUAGCAUAACCAUUACAAAAUCUAAAACAAGUUUUAUCAGACCAAAAUAGUUUAGGGUAAUGUUUCUAGUCCAUUUCUAGCAGCAAAACUCGAAAAUAUGCAUUUUGGGGCUCCUACUCGUUGAGCGCAAGAACCUACUCGACGAGUAGGAUGAAUUAACUUAUGGACUCUUCGAGUCCCCCCAUGGACUCGACGAGUUCAUGCUGCAAAAUGCAGAAAACUGAGAACAAGAUUGCAUCAAGUAUCAAAUAAACAAGCCAAGGCUCUGAUACCACUGAAGGGUUUUGAGCAUUCUAACACUCCUAAGGUGUACAUGCAACCCUAGAAACCUUGGAUCUAUGUUUUACUAUGAUACAUGCAAAAUUGUUUUUCCAAGGUUCCUAACCUAUCUAGCAUAGAAUGGGGAACUUUUAAACAUAAAUGCUAGAAGAAGAACAUACCUUUUGUUGUUUGGAUUCCUUGAGAACCUUGUGAGCCUAGCACCUCAAGUGUGAUGCCUCAAAUGUCUCACACAACACCACAACACUUGGAAUAACCUUGAGAGAAGUUCACUAACACCUCAAAGUCGGCUAGCCCUUUUUCUUGCUUGUACAAGUCCGAUUUUGCUAGUCUAGGGGUCUUUAUAUAGUUGUGACACAAGUAGGGUUACACCAUGUAAACCCUAAUUAUCAUGGCUUUGCACAUUCCAUGAUCCAUGGGUUUGUAACCUCCAUGAACUAUCCAUGGAGCACCUUAUGGGUUUUAACCUAAUCAAUACAAACAAUGGAUCAUUAGUCCACUAUACAAGAAUAGAUGAUUUACACAAUCAACCCCAUAUAUAUAAUUAGUCUCUUUUUGAUCACUUAAUUAAUUUCAGAUUAAUUCUUUGAUCAAUACUAAUUAAAUAAUAUUAUUAAUAUAUUAGAACUUUUAAUAUAUUAAUAAACCUUAAGUGUCCUUUCUCUCAUUUAGUCUAUCCAAAUGUUGCAAUGCCAUGCAACCCAAAUGGACCAUGCUAAUCGGGUCAAGUACAAUCCAGAAAUAGUUAUGAACUUAGACACCUAGUCUAACUAUUGUCAAUGGGUGUCUCGUAAAUUAUCAUUGAAUUAAUGGAGCGCGUGUGGUUAACCGACACGUCAAUUUCAGAUGAUAAAUGACAUCAAGAGCACCAAACGAAUUUGCAUGGUUAUUCACUUCUCCUUUGUGAUCCUCGGCAUCCCAGUCACAAAGUGGGAGCUUAGUUGAGAUUAAACUUGCCAUUGAAUAGUUCAAUAAAUCUCAAAAGAUCUAGGAGUUUCACAAGAUUGAAAUUGGUAAAUGCUUCACCUAGCUAAAGUAGAUACGAAUUUGAUUACGACAUCCCUCUUCAGAAUUCCAAUCGAAAAUAUGGAUCCUAGCCUUAAUUUGUAUUUUGGGUUAAUAACUAAGGAUUAAAACCAACUAAAUUAAAUUCUUGUCUCCCUUUAUAGAUGUCAAGUUCAGACAACAAUGGUUUUUCUCAUCCUUUUGAAUAUGAUCUUCCACAGGCGAAAGAAUGUUCCCUUCUUCAAAUGGUGGAACUAGAAAUCAUGCUUCUCCAACUUUUCCUCCACCUCCUCUAGUGAUUCUCCCCGACCCACGAUCACUUCAACUUGCACAGCUCAAAGUCACUUAAGCCCUAUUGGUAUGUAAACAUCAAAAUGGAAAAUUUGUUUGUGUGCAUGUCCUGAAAAUGAAAUUGCACAUUGACACAUUGGGGAUGUUCUGUGUUGUUUUCCCAAGGGAGCUGACCAUUGAUUCGGUUAUAGUUCUUCAUCCUAACUCAUAUAGUCAAUUCAUAAAAGACUUCUAUGAGAGAGACAAGUAUGUGACCCUAAUAAAUCUAACAUAUAUGCUAAUUGGUGCUGAAGCUGGAAUGCUUAUGAGCACAAGUCAUUCCAAUAUGGUUGAAAGAUCUAUUUCCUUAAUUCCCAUAGGCAUUAACAGUGGAAACAUUGGUAGUCCAGAAAAGGUUUCUCUUCCCAAUGGAAAGGGAUCGACCAAGGUCAAAAUUUUUGACCAUAUGGUAAAGGGAAAGGCUAAUUCUUUGAUAGUCCCAUGUGCCAUUCAUGAAAAUCCAUAUGUUUAUUGCCAAUUGAAGGCACAUUGGAUGGGAAGCUGCGUUGUCUACCCGAAAGAUCGCAGAGAUAGUAAAGUCAAGUUGUGUGACUCUACUUCAGGUACAUCCACUAUCUAACUCUAUUUUAUUAAGUUCCUAUUCAUAGAGUCUUAUUACAUGAUGUGAUAGUCACAUUUUGAUGUUUUGUAGGAUCUAAGAGAAAGAAGGAAGCUUAAUAAGAAGUGAGUUGAAUCUGAUCGUAAGAGAUGGAUUUCGGUCGCAUGGUUCGAUGAUCAGAUUUUGGAAGCUAUUGCUUAGGAGUUAUGAUAGGAUCAAUAGAUUGCUUGGGAAAUAUAUUGAAACAUAGUUUUCAUAUAUUUGCAUUAUAAGGAAAAAAUUUUCCACAUAUUAUAAAUAAAAUGAAUUUUUAUUUAUUUAUAUUUCCUUGCAAUGGCAUUUAUGAAAAUUGGUGGUUAUAUUUCUAUUGUCAGUAAUGUUAAAUGUGGAUUGAUUCUUAAUUAUAUCGUUUGUGGUAAUGUCAUAAUCAAACAAGUGAAAAGAAAUUCUCAUCACCCAAGUUUCAGUUGGAUAGAAAGUUAGAGUCAUGCAAUUCGAAUUGUGUUAUGUAUGAGAAUUUUGAUUGUUGGGAGACUAUGACUAACUCAUUGAUCACAUGUUUACAUGAAUCAAAGUGAAGGACUAAUGGAUCUAGUAUACAUUAAUGUUGAAUAUUUAGAUCCACCGCAAAGGACGAUAAGUCUAUUCAUCAUGAUUUACUGAUGGUUCAAUAAAUAUGGUUAUACUUAUGAGAUUAAGUGUAAUUCUGAUUCUUUGAAAAUUUUCAAAGAGUGGCAGAACGAAUAUGAAGAAUCUAUUAGGCCGAAAGAUAAAUGUUUUUCAAAUCUAAAAGGAAAGGAGAGUACUUUAGUAUCAUGUUUUGUGAUCAUCUUAAUGAUUAUGGAACAAUGUCAUUAUUGAUCCUCUAAGGAUAUCUUAGUGCAUUUGUAUGCUUAAGAAGAGGAAUCAUAUAUUGUUGAAAUGGUUUAAUCGAGAGAUGAGUCAUAUUUCGUUUCCAAUCAAGUUUUAGAGUCAUACUCUAGUAACUACAAAUAAUAUCUAGAAGCUUAUUUCAAACUAAGUAGGGUUAUAACACCUCAUGAAAUGUGGAGUAGAAAUUUUUUCUUACUCUAGCACAUUUGGAAUUGGUAGUUGUGUUGUUUUGGUUGAAACAAAGGAAAAAUUAAGACCAAUUACAUGAAGUGUUUUCUUGUCGAGAAUCCACAUUAACUUUUGAAUAUUUGUUUUUGCUUGUCAAGGAUUGUUCCUUGAGAAAAAAAUUUAUAUGUCAAGAAGCCAGUGGGAGUCUUAUUGGUCUUGAAGAGUUUCAAGAGUCAAUCAAGAAUAAACCUUUUAGUUAUCACUAGCACACGACCUGAGGUUGGUAACCUAUCAUGUUCAGUAGACACAUUCUUGUUUCUAUGCGCCUUCCAGUUGAGUUGGAAAUGCAUGUGAGUUAUGUGGUUCUCAUUUUACUGCAAAGGGCAGAGCACGCUGGUCAGUGAUAAUACAUUAGUCAAUGGAAGUGAGCUGCUUAAAAAACAUGGAAGACAUGGUAGGCCCUUGUGCUACCAGAUGGAAAGAAAUUAAGAAUAACCAAAGUUCAGUCCAUGAACGGAAAAACAAAAUUUGAUUUUGGUUUGUCCUCAACCUUAUCUUAUGAUUGUAGGUUGUAAUUGAUAAAUUCACAUGGAUAGGAACACAUACACCAUAAAAUCUAGGUGGCAAAAGUUUUCACUCUAAUUCAUGUAAAUGAUUAUGAGGAAACACUUUCUCUAGUAGAUUUUAAAUCUGAUUGAUAUCAUGGUUAGUAGUGGUGAUAAUUGCAUUAUCAAAUUCAUAUAUGAUUAUAACAUCCCUUUUCAUAGUUUGAAUUGUGAUAAAUGGAAAGUAAUGUUUUAAAUGUUCAAGACUUAUUGUUGUAUGUUUUGAAUCGGUUUAAACACACACACAUAUGCAAUCUAAUGAAGGUGUAUGAGCUUGAGAAGUCUACAUAAAGACAUAUCAAAGCACCACCUAUCAGAAAUCUAAACUUUAGAAUGAAAGUCAAUUGUAUUAAUUUCUAGAUACAUGUCAAAGCUAGUGGGAACAUAAUUUUUAUGCAGAUAGGAGCAUAACUGUUAUGCUAGUGGGAGCAUAAUUGUUAUGCUAAGUGUUGCAGGUUAGCAAUACUAUUUGUAGGAAACAAAGGUUACAAAUUUGCAAGUUGCAAAGUUUGAAAAAUUGUUUCGCUAUAGAAAGGUAUUUGGGAGAGAGCACUUAUACAUCACUUCAAAUCUAAAAGUUUAGAUUAAAGGAUUUUAAUGGAACUUAGUCAUGAACAUAUAUGAAUAUCGUGUAGAAGUGAUUCAACAUAGGAAAAUUUGAUAUAUGGAAAUAUUAUAACAAGAGGCUGAUCAAGUAUCGUGUCUUUAUGUAAGAUAUUAUGUGUUGAAUGCCAUAUGCUUCAUAUAUAGAAUUGAUUACAUAUGCUAUAAUAUUCGCUUGGUCUGAUUUUUCAAAUGCCUAGGGAAUUGAGAGAGAAAAAGGACUAGAACAAGAUAUGACUAAAGUUGUUAAACAAUUGUCAAGAACAAUAUGAGGUUCGCUAAAGAUUGAUUGCUUUUGGACAGUUGGAAGUAUAUUAAUAUUUGGACAAACCAUAUUGACAUGUUUCUAAUUAGGAUACUUAUUGAUCAGAAUUGAUAGUCAUAUGAGAAUAUGGAAAUGUUUCCAUAAUGGGAGUUAGUUAUUGAAAUCUACAUACAAGUUAGAAACCUUAAUGUAAGGAGGGUGUUCAAGGAGUUACCUUGAAUAUGAUACUGUUGGGUUUUGAGCAUUCUAACACUCCUAAGUGUACAUGCAACCCUAAAUACCUUAGAUCUAUGUUUUCUCUAAUAUACAUGCAAAUAUGAACUUUCCAAGGUAUUCAUCCUAACUAGCAUAAUAACAUUGAUUCAUAUGAAUAUAUCAAGUUAUAAUUACAUACCUCUUUGAUGUAGAAUGUCUUCAUGAAGCUUGAGUGCCUAGUGCCCCAAAUGUGACACCUUAAAUGGUUCACACAACACUAAAUGCACAUGGAAAUGACUUGAGAGAAAUGUAACACUCCUUGAAAUCGUCUAGCCCUCAUAUUCACACACUAGUGUCCAAUUUCUUGAGCCAUGGGAUUCUUUUAUAUGGUGGCUAUUAGGGUUACACCAUGUAACUCAUAACUUUACCCAUUCCUUAUGCUCCAUGGAGUUUAACCUCCAUGGAGUAUCCAUGGGUCACCCUAUGGACUUAGUCCAACAUAAGAAAUCUUGGAUCACAAGCCCACAUAUAUAAGAAUGAAUGAUUUACACAAUCAACCCAUAUAUUUAAUUAGUCUCAUUUUGAUCGCUUAAUUAAUUCCAAAUUAAUUCUUGAUCAAUAAUAAUUAAAUAUCCUUAUUAAUAUAUUAGAACUUAUAAUAUAUUAACCAACCUUAAGUGUUAUUUCACUCAUUAUAGUCUUAUCCAAAUGCAUGAUGCCAUGCAACCCAAAUGGACCAUGCCGGGUCGGGUCAAGUCUUACCAAUUACAGUUAUGGACUAAAACAUUAAUCCAAUAGUCUCCCACUUGGAUAAGUCUAAAACUAUUAUUGCGUAUGACUUCAAAAACCGACUGGCAAUCAUAGCUCUCAAAACCUUCUGUCAAAAUCUAACCAUGCCGAUGAUCUCUGACCUUUGUCAAUCAUUUGUCUAUUAGAUAAGUGAUCAUAUAUUCCUUCAUUCUAGAUAUCAUAUGGACUGAGACAUGGAUUAUAAUCAUUCUCUCUGUCCAUCUGUUGUUUCCCGAUUUCCGAUUCAUGAUGACUGACUAAUUGAACAAAUCAAAUCAGUCCUGGCUUGGCCAAGCACUCACAUGUAUCAUCAUUAAAUCAUUGAAGGGCCCACAAAUAUUGCUUUCAUCCCGAAGGUAAAAGGAAUGGAUAAACUUUAACUCAUAUGGCUUGUUCUACUACUUGUUGAAUCAUACACAAAGGCACGUUUUAUAGCACCGAGUUAACCAAUGCGUUUUCGUGCAAUCAAUGUACAACCAACUCAUAGUAACAACUCAUAUAUCUAGGUUUGAAGAAUAUAAGAUAUUAUCGUCUCAUGAUCACUCGUGAUAAAAUCCAUGAAGUGAUUCCAAUGAGCGCGGGUUGAAUCCAAUACUCAGAACUUAUGAGCACUCAUGAGUGUUGUAGCACCACAUUGUCCAACAUUUUGGACCUCUACAAGCCCAACCCAUGACAGUCUUGAUUCAUAUCUACUUCCGACAUUUGACCGACUGUGGAUGAUUUGAAUAACCUAGUCAUUCAGGAAGAACGACCUAGUUAUUCUGGAAGUCAAAACAUGCAAAAUGAAACACAAGAAUAAUUGAAUCCAAUAUGGUCUCAGAACUUAUGAAUAUGAAUAAAACACCUUUUAUUUAUCACCAUAUGAUUACACAUUAUUCAUUGCAUACUGUUUCAGCUAUCAACUUUAUUCUUGAAUUAAAACAAUAGUUGUCCCAUGCUCCAAGCAUGUACACUAUGUUUUUCUAAACAUUAGUUAUGCCAUACUCCAAGUAUGCAUACCAAGUUUGUCUAUGAUCUUUACCUUGUGAAAUAGAUCGAUUGAAUAUAACUCCAAUGAUUCUCAUUUCAUAGUCCCAAGUCCUUGCGGCAAUGCAAGAAUUCCAAACUCAUUCCUUUUACCGAAAUCUAUUCGAUUCUAAACUUAUAUGCAUUGGUCCUCUUGUAACGAUUAUGCACAAAGUCACAAAGACUUGUCAACAAACAUUACAGAGUAUUCCAAUGGAGAUCAACUCCGUGGAACCAAAGUCUCAUAUUCAAAGUUCAUUGCCUUUGAACAAUCUUCUUGCAUUAAGUUUCCUAAUCUUACACAGAUAACUUCCACCUUCCCAUAUUCCCAUUUUGACUAUCACUUCUUAACAGGAGUUGCAUCUCUUUCAGAAUAUGUCAAUAUGGUCCUUCCAAAAUUAACACCAUACUUCCAACUAUACCUGAGCAACCAAUCUUUGGUAAAGCUUAGAUUGUCCUCGACAAUUGCUUAAUCCUUUUAGUCAUAUCCAGUUCUAGACCUUUUCGGCUUUUCCCUUCUUAAUGCCCCAUGCAUUUGGAAAAUUUUAGAAAGGAUGAAUAUAGCACAUGUAAUCGAUCCUAUAUCCGAAGCAUAUGGGACAUGAUUCAUGAUGUCUCACAUAAAGACUAAACCAGUCUUUUGCUAUAAUAUUUCCAUUUCAAUUUGCCAAGUUCUCAUAAUUCAGAUUAUGAAAAGGGAUGCCGUAAUCAUAAUCGAAUUUUAGAAUGCAAAUAAUGGACCCAUAUAUAGAAUUUUCUUAUGUUGAGGCAUUCCAACAUAUCAUUCAUAUAUAUACUUGACUAAAUUCGAUUAAAACCUCAAUCUAAGCUUUUAGAUUUGAGAUGAAGUAUAAUUUCCUCUCCCUUAAUUAUAGGAAAACAACUUUUCAACCCCUGCAACUCCACGAAUUGAAACUUUUGUUUUCUAUAAUUAACAUUGCUAACUUGCAACCUUUAUCAUAAUUAUCAUGCUCCCACUAACAUGAUGAUUAUUAGCAAUACAGUCAUGCUUCCACUAGCUUUGAUAUGUACUCAGAAAUCAGCUGAACUUCUAGAAAUCAAUACUUUAUUGACUUUCUUACCAAAGUUCAGAUUUCUAAGACGAGAUUGCCUUGAUUAGAACUUUAUCAAAAUUGAUACACCUUUCCUUAGAUGGCAUACAAGUGUGUCUAAACAAUUUUAGGACUAUGAAAAGGGAUGCCGUAAUCAUAGUCUCAAUUGUUUACAUCUUUGCUAUUUGCUUCAAAUCUACUUAGUGGAAGUGUUUCCUCACCAUCAUUUUCAUGAAUCGGAGAGAAACCUUAUGACCCUUAGAUUUUAUGGUGUAUGUGUUCUUAUCCAUGUGAAUUGUCAAAACCAUAGUCACAAGACAAGGAUAAUGACAAAUCCAAACUCAUAUGGACUGAACUCAAUCUUAAUUUCUUGCCACCUGGCAGCUCAAGGGCCUGCCAUUGCUUCCAAGUUGUUAUGCAACCAAUUGAGAACUCUAAGAACUCAUAUGCAAAGCCAACUUUAACUGGAAUGGGCACAGAAUAUGUCAACACGAUAGGUUAUAAACCUUAAGUCGUGUGCUAGUGAAGAACUUCAGGUUUUAUUCUUGAUUAGUUCUUGAGACUUUCAAGACCUUUAAGACUCCCACUGUCCUCUUGACAUAUAAGACUCCCUUGUCAAACAUCCAAGAGAUAGUGCGGAUUCUAAUCAAGACAAACACUUUACACAAUUGGCCUAAGUUGGUCUUUGUUUUAUCCAAAACAUCACAACUUACCAAUUUCAAAUGUACAAGAGUAGAAAACUUUUACUCUUACAUUUGACAAGUGUUUUAAACCUUCUUUAAGACAUGUCACUCAAAUGACAAUCUUGGAGUAUGACUCUAAGACUUGUAUUGGAACGAAGUAUGACUCAUCUUCUUGAUUUAACCAUUUCAACAAUUCAAGUUCCUCUUCUUAGUCAUAAGAAUGCACUAAGAUUUCCUUAGAGAACUAAUUUUGAUAUGGUUUCUUAAUCAUUAAGAUGAUCACAAAACUGAUACUAAAGUACUCUCCCAUCUUUUCAGAUUUGAGAAACUUUUAUCCUUCUGCCUAAUUUGUUUCUUCUUAUUCGCUCUGCCAUACAUUGGAACCUUUUCCAAUGCUUCAAAAUUAUACUUAAGCCUGUAAGUAUAACCAGUUUUACUAAACUUUAGUAAAUCAUGACGAAUAGUCUUACCGUUCUUUUGUGGUGGACUUCACCAGUGCACAAGAAUGUUUACUUGAUCCUUUAGUCCUUUACUUGACUCACCUAAACAUGUGAAUAAGGAAUUAGUCUUAAUUUUCCAAAGAUGAAAAUUCUCAUUCAUCGUACAGCUUACAUGAUUCCAAGUUUCUAUGAAACUUGGGUGAUGAGAAUCUUUCCUUAUUUGGUAAGUUUAGACACUACCACAAAUGAAAGAAUCAAAUUCAUAUUUCCAAUAUUGCUAUCAAUGGAAUCAUAUAAACAACAAAGUUUUUUUUUCACAAAUGCCACUGUAAGGAUAUUUUAAAAUAAAUAAAAUCAAAAUUUUUCCUUUUAUUUUAAAAACUUUGCGGAAAAACUAUCCUUAUAGUGAAAAGCACAUGAAAACUUUGUUGUUAUCUAUUCCUAAGCAAUAUAUCAUAACUCCUAAGAAGUAGCUCAAGAAUCCGAUCUUCAAACUAUGCAAUAGAAAUCCAUCUAUGCGAUUAGAUUCAACAUAUUCUUUCUUUAAGUUUCUUCACUUUCCUUUGAUUCUUAAAACAUCAACAUGUGACCCAGUCACAUCAUGUAUCAAGAAUCUCAGAAUAGAAACUUAGCAGAGUUAGAUAGUGGUAUUUACCUGAAGUAGAGUCAAACUUAUUGACUUUAACAUCCUUACGUAAAAAUUUGGCAGCUUCGCAAUCAGUGCCCCUUCCUUUGGCAAUUUAACAUAUGGACCCUUUGGUAAUGGUACAUGGGACUAUCACAGACUUAGUUUUUCUCUUUACCAUUUGGUCAACCUAGUUUACUAUGGUCAAUCCCUUUCCUUGGGAAGAGAAGGUUGUUCUAGAUAUCCAAUGUUACCAUUGUCAAUGUCCAUGGUAGUUUGGGAAGUUGAUCUACUAAUCAAAUUUUCUCUCCUAGUGCUACUGAUUCAGCAGCACCAAGCAAAUAGAUAAGAUCCUUAAGGGUAAUGUCAUAGUCUGUUUGAUAGGAGUCCUAAAGGAACUUACUAUGUGACUUAGAAAGUGAUUGGACAUCCAAACUUCUCAAGACUUUGACACCCAACUCUCCCGGCUUGUCAGUGUGUGACUUCAUCUCCAAGAUGUGAGCACACCUAGACCUUGCCUUGCCAAUAGGGCUUGAGUGACCUUGAACUUGUGGGAUAGGGAGAAUAAUUGGAGGAGGUGGAGGAGGUGAAGUUCCAAGAGAUUUGGGAGGNUGUCUAAACCAGACAUCUUUUGGGAGAUAUUCAAGAUAGUUGAUUUUAAAGUCCUUAAUAUGACACCCAAUAUGAAAUAUUAAGGCUAGGACCCAACAAACUAUUUUAUAACUCGGAAGAGGGAUGUCGUAAUCCAAGCUAUAAAAUAUUUGAAGGUAGGUGAAUGACGAUUCACCAAUUUCCACCAAGAUAAACGAAAUGUAUUAUUAGGUUUUAAUUGUUUUUUUGAAACUCCUAGAUUCCUUUGAGAUUCAUUGAACUGCUCAAUGGCAUGUUUCAAUCUCAAAAGUGCCCUUCAGGUUUUGUGACUGGGAUGCCGAGGAUCAAAAAACAAGGUGUGAAGUAACCAUGCAAAUAUACUUGGUAUCCUUAAUAUUUACCCCUUAAACGAUGUCCCGGAUAACCACACAUGCUCCACCGAUACUAUGAUAAAUAUUAAGUUACCCUUUGCCUACCCUGUUAAGUCCAUGUUAGUGUGCCGGUUAACCACACACGCUCCAUCAACGACUUAAACAAAGUGCAAAGUGUAAUUUCAUGGAUUAGCACCUUAUUCACAUUUUCCUAAGUAACUAAGAUUGGGUAUUAUUAAGAGUUUAGUUACUUAGUAUUAUCAUUAAUACUUUUAAUGAAGGGAGAAUUCUAGUCCUGUCAAACCCGUUCGGCUAACGACCCUCCACCAGUCAAGCAAGCGGUGGGUGAGAGUGGACACCCAUUAAGUUGCCAUUUUAUAGGCAACAACCUUAUACCCACCUUAUAGACCGGCUUCGUGAAUGAGGCGUACUAGCGGUAAGACUGACUUUACUCUUAUACUUAUAUAUAUAUAUAUUAUUAACUUAUAAUAUUAUAAAGUAUAAGGGUUAAAUUUUAACUUUUAAAAUUCUAAGGGCUAACUUGGAAUUAAAGUAUUCAUAAGUGAAAACUUUUAAAAUUCCAAAACUUGAGGGCAAGUUUUGAAACUAUUCAAAACUUAUUAAUUCCAUAACUUAUGUGUUUAAAAUAGUUUUAAUCCAAAAACUCUUCAAGUUCUAUAACUUGAGGACAAGUUAUGGAAGACUUUAAACUAUUAAAAGAAUGUGACUUUCCUUUAUUCAUAACCUAUGGAAAUUACUUAUGAGUUUUAUGAAUCUUAAAUGUGACUUUUCAUAUAACUUGAGAGCAUGUUACAAAAACACAUUUUAGAGUCAACUCUUAGAUUAAAAUUGAUUGAAAACCCAUAAUCAAUUAACUUUUCUAUUAAUCUAAGCAACUCAUAUGAACAAAGAUAAUUCACAUCAAACUUUUUCAUGUAAUUAUCAUAACUCUUAAACUAAUACAAAACAUGAAUCUAUUGACAUUUAUCUUUGAAAUUGGAUUAGCAUGAACAUUACCACAUAAAAAAAAGGUUUAUAAGUUCAAAAACAGCUUAUGGUAAUGUUCCUAGUCCAAUUCCAGCAAAAAAACACGAAGAUAUGCUGUCUGGAGGCCAAAAUCGUCGAGUUCUUCAUGGAACUCGUCGAUUUCAUGCUCUAAAACAUGAACUCGUCGAGUUUUCUACUAGAACUCGUCGAGUUUUAGGCCCUGAUAGAUUCUUGGCUUCGAAAAAGCUAUUUGCAUCAAGUAUAAGAGAAAGCAAGCCUAGGUUCUGAUAUCAUUGUUGGGUUUUGAGCAUUCUAACACUCCUAAGUGUACAUGCAACCCUAAAUACCUUAGAUCUAUGUUUUCUCUAUUACACAUGCAAAUAUGAACUUUCCAAGGUAUUUAUCCUAACUAGCAUAAUAACAUUGAUUCAUAUGAAUAUAUCAAGUUAUAAUUACAUACCUCUUUGAUGUAGAAUGUCUUCAUGAAGCUUGAGUGCCUAGUGCCCCAAGUGUGACACCUCAAAUGGUUUACACAACACCAAAUGCACAUGGAAAUGUCUUGAGAGAAAUGUACCACUCCUUGAAAUCGUCUAGCCCUCAUAUUCACACACUAGUGUCCGAUUUCUUGAGCCAUGGGAUUCUUUUAUAUGGUGGCUAUUAGGGUUAGACCAUGUAACUCAUAACUUUACCCAUUCCUUAUGCUCCAUGGAUUUUAACCUCCAUGGAGUAUCCAUGUAUAAGGUCACCCCAUGCACUUAGUCCAACAUAAGGAAUCUUUGAUCACAAGCCCACAUAUAUAAGAACGAAUGAUUUACACAAUCAACCCAUAUAUUUAAUUAGUCUCCUUUUGAUCACUUAAUUAAUUCCAAGUUAAUUCUUGAUUAAUACUAAUUAAAAAACCUUAUUAAUAUAUUAGAACUUAUAAUAUAUUAACCAACCUUAAGUGUUAUUUCACUCAUUAUAGUCUUAUCCAAAUGCAUGAUGCCAUGCAACGCAAAUGGACCAUGCCGGGUCGGGUUAAGUCUUACUAAUUACAGUUAUGGACUUAGACAUUAAUCCAACAGGUACUUCAUUACCAUGAUUUUUUUUAAGUAAAAAGUUUCAUUGGAGCAUUUUGUAACAUCGUUGGCCAAGUCUCAGUGACUGUGAUGCCACGUUAUCACAAAAGGAUAUUGCAUGCAAGGUUAGACUCUAACACAUUUAGUGAUGAAAAGAAAUUGGAAUUCUUACAAUUAUAACAAGCAUUUGGAAUUAUGAAAUGAGCAUCAUUGAAAUUAUGUCCAAUCGAUCUGUUCACAAAGGAAGUACCUUAGAGAAACGUAGUAUGCAUGUUUAGAACAUGACAUGGCUAAUGUUUAAAUCAAGUAUUUAGUUGAUUAAUUGAAACAAUGUACAAUUAAUAAAGUCUAAUUACUAUGGUGAUUAAAUAAUAAGUGUUUUAUUUAUAUUCAAUAGUUUUUAGACCAUGGUUAAUUAGGUUAUUAUUGUGUUUCACUUCACAUGUUUUACUUCCCGAAUAAUUCGAUUAUUCAAACAUCCAUAGUCGAUCAUACUUUUGGAAGUAAGUAGUGAACUGAUAUUGUCACGAAUCAGACUAUAGAUUGUCUAAGGCGUUAGACAUAUCAAUGGUUUGCUGCAGUAUUCAUGAGUACUUUUGAAAUGGGGAUUUAAGCAUUGGAUUAACCAACGCUCAAAGAAUUACUUCAUGGAUUUUAUCACGAGUAAUUUUGAGAUGAUAAUAUCAUAUGUUCUUGAAACCCAGAUAUAUGAGUUGUUGUUUAUGAGUCAGUUGUGCAUUGAUAAUACGUAAACACAUCAGUAACUUGAUGUUAUAAAACAUAUUGUUGUGCGUGAUUUGAUGAUUGAAUAGUGAAAUCAUAUAAGUCGAAGUUUAUCCGUUCCUUUUUGCCCUAACGGGAAAAACGAUAUCUGUGGUCCCCUCAAUGAUUUGGUGAUGACAUCUAAAGCACUUCGCCAAGUCUGGACUAAAUUGAUGUGUUCAAUUAGUAGUCUAAUAUCAGUUGUCAUGAAUCAAAAAUCAGGAAACAAAUAUUAGACAGAGAGAAUGAUUAUAAUACAUGUCUCAUGUCCAUACGAUAUCUUGUAGAAUGGAGGAAUUUUUUAUCACUUAUCUUAGGACACAUAUCUGAGUAGGUCAAUGUUUGACAACGACUUUAAGAGAUACAAAUGCUUGUCAAUUUUUGAAGCCGUACUUGCAACUAUAGUUAUUAGACUUAUCCAAGUGGGAGACAGUUGGAUUAGGUGUCUAAGCCCAUAACUAUAAUUGGUAUGUACGUGAAUUGAUAGUGGUAUGGUGCUUUUGGGUUGCCUUCACACUAGCAACUCGACAGGAUGAUUAAUUGAGGAAGAGGAAGAAUUUAUUAUUUGGAAUAAUAAAUUGAUAUAAAUGAUUUAUUAAUAUGGUAUCAAAAUAAUAUAUUAAUUAGAAAUCAUAUUAUAAAUUAAUAUUUAAUUUGAAAUUAAUUUGGAAUUAAUUUUGGGAUUAAAGGAAUUAAUUAAAAGUGUAUGGGUUGUUUUGCAAUUUAUUGAUAGUUGUGGAAUUCGGCUCUUGGACCAUCCUAGGAGGCAUGAUUGAAAUUCUCUAGGGAAGGCCCUAGAAAUUUUGUUCAUGGCCUUAAGGAUGAGGAUCCAUGAGCUGCUUAGGCCUUAAACAAAGGGAUUAAGUUUUCCUUAUCUUAACCCUAGCUUUGGCUUUAAGCAACCAACAACUAUAUAAAGGGCAUAACCCCUUGUGGAUUUCGGCUAGGUCAAGGUUCCUACACCCUAGAAAACCGAAAAUUAUCUCCUCUCUCAUCCUCUCAUAAUCUUCCUCUUACUAAGUGUGUUUGUGAGCCAUUAGAGGUGUGAUGCUUAUGACUCUAAGUUCUCAAAGUUCAAGAUCUACAAGGUUAUAGAUUGUUAUUACAAUAUAACAAUCAAGGUAUGCAUUUUGAUCCCUAUGAUGUGAAUUUCCAUUAUAAUACAUAUAUCCUAGGGUUUCUUGUAUUGUGUUCAUUGUUUGCAUGUUCAAUAGAGAAAACUUAGAUCCAAUCAAUUUAGGGUUGCAUGAACACAUAGGAAUGUUUGUUUUGCUCAAAACCCAUCAUAGAAAACGAAGGUUGCACUAGAAGUGGGUCAAUAAUUUUCGAAGGGUUGAACCCUUUUGAAGUUAACAAAAGAUGAUAUCAUUGAAUAAAUGUGUAAGUUUUCAUUUUUCUUAUAUGUUGCUUCAAAUGUCAGUUCUGAACAAUUAUCUUGGGUGUAGGCUAUGAAAUUAGUAUGAUGUAAGACCUACUGUUAGGUCAAUUUUUCCCUAAACUUAUUACAUCAAUAAUACCAGUAUUAUAGACAGCUAUCUACUCUGUGGGGAAAAAUCUGUACACUUGUGUUUUCCUACUAACCUCCUAUGUUGUGAUCUCAAACAUUCAUUCAACUAUUGGGAUAUGCCUAAUUAGUCCAUGUGUCACUCUCACCCGCUUACAAUUGAUUCUUACCAUUGUAUUCACCUUUAUAAUCUUUCAGCAGAAAGAUGCCUCCUCGCAAAUCUCCCAGGAAUAACCCUGCACCACCACCACCUCCUCUUCCUCAGGUCAUCGAUAUUGCAGCCCUGAAUGCUGAAGUAGCUAUAGUAGUGGCAACCGCCAUGGCUCAGUAUCACUCUACUUAUGCCAGCAGAGGUGGAACNCUGACUUUAUUCCUGCUGAAAUCCUUGUGCGCUUGAGAGAGUGCUCCUUCAAGGAUUUCACCAACUGCAAGCCGAAUUCCUUCAAGGGGACCGGCAGAGUCAUUGCCCUCUUGUAAUGGUUCAAGAAGAUUGAAUCAGUCUUCGGAAUUUGUUUGUGCCCUUCUGCGAGCAAAGUCAAAUAUGCCGCGUGCACCCUUGAAGAAAAAGCCUUGACGUGGUGGAACGGCCAUGUUAAAGCACUAACUCUCGUUGUGGUCAAUGACAUAGGUUGGAAAACCAUGAAAGACAUCAUGAUUGAGGAAUACUGCCCGAGGGGCGAGAUCCAGAAAUUGGAGCAGGAGCUGUGGAGUCUAACCAUGAUAGGCUCCAACAUAGUCGCAUAUACCACCAAAUUGAGCGAACUAGUGGCUCUCUGCCCCAAUAUGGUUCCCACUGAAGGGAAAAAUAUCGAGAGGUACAUAUGGGGGCUAGUGCCUCCGUAUCAAGNGUCCUAUCAUCAACCCCUGCUCCCUUCGACAGGGCCAAGCGACUGGCACAACGACUCAUUGACCAUGGAGUCAAAGCCCCAGCAGCAACAACAACCCUAGCCAUCUCAGACCCCUCCAAACCCGCUGACACUAAGCGGAAGUUCUGGAACAACAAGAAGAAACAGCGAGCUGCCAAGAAGCAGCAAAUUUAGGCUGUGCAUGCCGCAAUAACCCCUGCUGCUGCUACUACUCCGGUGAGGCAGUAUGCUGGAAGUUUGCCUAAGUGCAACAAAUGCAACUUCCACCACAAUGGCCCCUGCCGUGAAAUACAGUGCUCUAACUGCAACAAGAAAGGACACACAGUCCAUUUCUGUAAAUCUCCGGCGAGGCCGAACACCCAAGUCCCCGACACUGGCGUGAGCCAGGACUGCUAUGGAUGUGGCGAGGGGGGCCACUAUAAGAGGGACUGCCCCAAAGCAAAGAAUGUUGGCGGAGCAGGGAGAGUACUAGCGAUAGGCCAUGGGGAAGCAGUUGUUGACCCGACGUUGGUGACUGGUACGUUCCUCCUCGAUAACUCCUAUGCAUGCAUUCUAUUCGAUAGUGGAGCGGAGCGAAGCUUGGUGAACCAUAAAUUUGCUCGCAUGCUAAAACAACAACCACACACACUUAAAGAACAAUUCACAUUAGAAAUGGCUAGUGGAAAAACUGAAAGCACAAAUAGCAUAUACUUAGGAUGUACCCUAACUCUAGAUAACCAUUCAUUUCCAAUCGACCUUAUGCCGGUCUCGAUUAAAAGCUUCGAUGUCAUCAUCGGCAUGGGUUGGUUGAGUCUUCAUCGCGCCAACAUCAUGUGCUUCGAGAAAGCAGUCCGUUUAAACCUACCGUCUAACAAAACUCUUGUCAUCUACGGCGACAAACCCAGUGCGAGUCUUCGUAUUAUAUCAAGUAUUCAAGCACAAAAGUAUCUACGUAAAGAAUACCAUGCAUUCGUUGCUCAGGUUGUCGAUACGAGCCUCGAAACGAAAGAACUAAAGAACAUUCCAGUAGUGAGCGACUUUCCCGACAUCUUCCCAGAAGAGCUACCAGGAUUACCUCCGCAACGACAGGUCGAGUUCAGAAUCGACUUAGUCCCAGGAGCUACCCCAGUAGCCAAGUCGCCCUACCGAUUAGCACCAACAGAGAUGCAGGAACUAUCCGCUCAACUUAACGAACUGCUCAGCAAGGGCUUUAAGACCAAGUUUCUCGCCUUGGGGAGCACCGGUCUUGUUCGUUAAGAAGAAAGACGGAUCAUUUCGUAUGUGUAUCGACUAUAGAGAACUCAACAAACUGACGGUCUAGAAUCGUUACCCUCUGCCUCGCAUUGACGAUCUAUUUGACGAACUGCAAGGGGCGAACUACUUUUCCAAAAUCGAUCUAAGAUCCGGAUAUCACCAGUUACGAGUGCUAGAGGAGGAUGUGCCGAAGACCGCCUUCCGAACUCGUUACGGACAUUACGAGUUCGUGGUGAUGCCAUUCGGAUUGACCAAUGCACCCGCAGUUUUCGUGGAUCUGAUGAAUCGAGUAUGCCGACCUUACUUGGAUCAGUUCGUAAUUGUUUUCAUCGACGACAUUCUGAUCUACUCCCGGAGUAAGGAAGAGCAUGGCAACCACCUACGACAGGUCUUAAUAACUUUACGAACGGAGAAGCUCUAUGCGAAGUUCUCGAAAUGUGAAUUUUGGAUCCGAAGAGUCGAAUUCUUAGGACAUGUGGUAAGCAAAGAAGGAAUCCACGUGGAACCAUCCAAAAUUAAGUCCAUUGAGAACUGGUCAGCACCGAAGACGCCUACAGAAAUUCGCCAAUUUCUAGGUCUUGCUGCCUACUAUCGUAGGUUCAUUCAGAACUUCUCCCGUAUAGCGAAACCUCUUACAAAACUGACCCAGAAGGGCGUGGCCUUUGACUGGGAAGAGAAACAGGAGAGAGCGUUCGAAACACUCAAGCGAGCCUUGUGCACUGCACCAAUACUAUCCCUGCCUGAAGGGAUAGAAGAUUUCGUUGUCUAUUGCGACGCGUCAAAUCAAGGGCUUAGUUGUGUUCUGAUGCAACGGGGUAACGUCAUCGCCUACGCCUCGAGACAGCUGAAGACACACGAAGUCAACUACACCACACACGAUCUUGAGCUGGGGGCAGUUGUGUUUGCCCUGAAGAUCUGGAGACAUUACCUGUAUGGAACAAAAAGCACAAUUUUUACCGACCACAAGAGUUUACAGCACAUAUUCGAUUAGAAGGAGCUCAACAUGCGACAACGACGGUGGGUCGAACUACUCAAUGACUACGAAUGUGAUAUUCGUUAUCAUCCGGGUAAACCCAAUGUAGUAGCGGACGCCCUAAGUAGAAAAGAAUAUUCUGGUUGAAGAGUCAAGUCAUUAACGAUGACUAUCCAUUCACACUUGUCUAAGCAAAUUCAGGCGGCCCAGCUUGAAGCCAUGAAACCUAAAAACGUGACGAGUGAAUCCCUUAGAGGAAUGGAUAAGAAUUUAGAAGCCAAGGGUGACGAAGCCUUAUACUUCAUGGACCGGAUCUGGACACUGAAGCACGGUGGUUUCCGAGACUUGGUCAUGAUCGAGGCGCACAACACUCCGUAUUCCGUCUACNCACUCGGUAUUCCGUCCACCCAGGUUCAGAUAAGAUGUUUAUGGAUCUUAAAAAGCUAUACUGGUGGCCUAUUAUGAAAGCAGAGAUUGCUACCUUUGUAAGUAAAUGCCUUACUUGCGCAAAGGUGACGGUCGAGUACCAGAAGCCCUCCGGUUUACUACAACAAUCAGAGAUUCAGGAAUGGAAGUGGGAGCGGAUCACUAUGGAUUUCAUAACCAAGUUGCCCAAGACAACAGGUGGACUUGAUACCAUAUGGGUCAUCGUCGAUAGAUUGACCAAGUCUGCAUACUUCCUGCCUAUCAAAGAAACUGACAAGAUGGAGAAGCUUACGAGAACAUAAAUUAUAGAAAUUGUACGACUACAUGGUGUCCCUAUAUCCAUUAUCUCCGAUAGAGAUAGUAGGUUCACUUCAAGGUUCUGGCAAUUGCUACAACAUUCCAUAGGAACAAGGCUAGUCAUGAGCACAGCCUACCAUCCACAGACUGACGGACAAAGUGAGAGGACCAUCCAAACACUAGAAGAUAUGUUGAGAGCCUGUUUGAUUGAUUUUGGAAAGGCAUGGGAUACUCAUUUACCCCUUGUCGAAUUUUCCUACAAUAAUAGUUAUCACAUGAGCAUCAAGGCUGCUCCAUUUGAAGCCCUCUAUGGCUAAAAGUGCAGAUCCCCUUUGUGCUGGGCUGAAGUGGGUGAUACCCAGUUAGCUAGGGGGCAAGUUCCUGACAGUACUCUCACAGGCCCGGAAAUCAUUCGGGAAACGACAAAGAAGAUCGUUCAGAUCCGUGAACGAUUGAAAGUCUCUAGAGACCGACAGAAAAGCUACGCUGACAAAGGAAGGAAACUAUUGGAAUUUUAGGUGGGAGACUGAGUCCUUCUUAAAGUCUCACCCUGGAAGGGCUUGAUACGCUUCGGUAAGCGUGGGAAGCUCAAUCCGAGAUACAUAGGACCCUUCAAGAUUCUCGCAAGAAUCAGUCUUGUAGCUUACAAAGUCAAUCUACCAGAUGAACUUCGUACCGUACAUUCUACACUCCAAGUCACUAACUUGAAAAAGUGUCUGUCCGACGAGACACUUGUAAUCCCACUCGACGAGAUCGAGAUCAACGAGAGCCUCAACUUCGUGGAAGAACCAGUAGAGAUCAUGGACCGAGAAGUCAAGCUGUCACACCCCAAAACCAAGAACGGCGGAAACGUUCUGGGGCGGAGGACGUCAUGUAAAGUAUCACAACACAGUAAAUGUAAAUAAGCAAACAACAUCAUCCAUUGCAUUAAAUAUAUAAUUUUAAUACAAGCGUGUUCUGUACAGUUAUAGACACCAAAAAUAAUGUAAAUCAAAAUAUUAAGAUGAGUCUUGGAUGCACUCCAUAUUCUCAAAAGCUGGCCUCGGUACCAGUCUACUGAUGACCUGAGAAUACAAGUUAUUUUGAAAGAGUUAAUCAGCAUUAAGCUGGUGAGUUCAUAAGUUUUUUAGUGUCGAUGUUUGUUAUCAAAAACGUUUGAACAUGUCUCAAUUGUAAGUUUGUAAAAUGUAAGUAAUUGUUUGUAAGUGUUUGUAAAAGUUUGAAUUCCUCAGAAAAACCUAUAUUUUCUAUUAAAGUAGCCUUCUACCAAGGCUUAACUGUUUUGUAUGCUCGUUUGUUGUAAAAGUGUGUAAUUUCCUAAGUGUAACUAUCAUUUAACAAAAUAUAGUUUGUACAUUAAUGAUUAAGUGAAAUAAUCACUAAAUAUAUGUAAUGGGUAAAUUAUUGUAGUACUGUAGUGUUGUAUUAUAGGAACUACUGCUGUACUAACUACCUUAAACCGGAUUUAUAUUAAGGUAUCAUGUGAUUAAUUGCACCAUACUAUCGACUGGUAACAACGACAUACGAAUGGUCGUAAUAACGGAAUGACGUUUGGCACCCGCAGACCUGCAGGUCCGGCUGUAGCUAGCAGCAAGGUGUAGGAUAGUCAAUCCAGUAUAGAUCUAUACGCAAACUCACGCUCUCCCUCCAAGAGAAUUCUGGCUACAACUCGGGCCAUGACAUUUAAGGCAUGCUCCGAUACAGUGGAUCACAAUUGUUAACGUAUUCAUGUAUAUGUAAUGUAAUGUUACUUGUUCUAGUAUCGUUGUAUAUGUUCUCUUCCUAGUAUAGUUGUAUAUGUUCUCUUUCUAGUAUAGUUGUAUAUGUUCUCUUUCUAGUAUAGUUGUAUAUGUUCUCUUUCUAGUAUAGUUGUAUAUGUUCUCAUAGUAAUGUAAUGUAUAUACUCAUGAAUGAACUGACUCAUUGAUCUAGCAGUUGUAGUAGUAUGAUCCUGUGUUACCCCGAUGGUAACUUACUAAUGAUGUGUCUAGUACGUAUGAAUAUGGAAGUACUUUUAUGUCUAUAUAUGUAUAUUUGAUAUAUAAUUAAUAUUGAAACGACCUUCGGAUGGUCACCCGAAAUCCCACCAGACCACAUCCAAAUCGAGAAAAAGGAAAUAGGGCGGAUGGCCUUCCUAAGCCCUUUAAACAUUAUUUAUAUAUCUAUACAUAUAUGGGCAUGCAAUUUAUAAGAAGUAAAACAAAGUUUAAUAAAAGCAUUUGAUAAGUAAAAGAGUUUGUAAAACAUUUUGAAGUAAAGCAGUUUGAUAAACAGUUUGAACAGUGAUAAAAUCAUUGGUUUUCUAGUUAUUAAUCACAUGUGAUUAAUGCAAUCACAUGUGAUUGAUGUAAUAACUAUAAGUAUUUAACUUGUAUUCCCCCCAUAAAGUAUUUAAAACAUUUAAAAGCAUUUCAAAGGUUAAUUAAAGGGGUAUGAACUCACUUGUGGUGAGUGGUUUGGAUUGUAGUGUCGGAUACCGUGCUAGGUGGCAAACGGAGACUUGUUCACACGCACGAGCCUAGUUAUCAUAUAAUGAGCAUAUAUAUAACUAAUUAGCCAAAUAAUAACUUAAUGAAAUAAGUUGGGACACUUAGGAACAUGUAAACACUUUGUAUAAGUGUUAUAGGUCCUAAUGGUUGCAUCUAAGUUGUUAUGGGACAAGGCUAAAGGGGUUUAAUGUACCAAAGGACCUUGUAUAAGAGUUUACUACCCAAUAAACCCCACACAAGGAGUUUACGGUCGUAAACCCUUGAGUUUACGGCCGUGAACUCCAAUCUUGGUGGUUUUGGGUGUUUUAAGGUGCUAAAUGAUUUCUAGAAUAAGCCUAGCUUGGUGGUUUAAUCCUUUGGGUAGUUUAGGGCAUAGAUAAUACUCCUUUGAGGAGUUUACGGCCAAAAGACCAUAUCCCUUAGAGUUUACGGCCGUAAACUCUCAUGGGAUGGAUGUUUUAAUUCUUUCAAGUCUCUUGCACAAGUAGGAUAAUUUCUAGGCUUUUGUUUAAGGCUAAGGGGAACCCUAGGCACACUUUGGUGCCCUUACUUGGUGUUUACGGCCCAAGAGCAUUUCUUGGCCGUAAACUCCCUUUUAGGGGUGAUUUUGAUGUGUUAAUGUCCCCAUAUUAGCUAGAAGUAAUUGAGGGUUAAAGUCUAAAGCCUUUGGGGGUGAUUAGGGCACAUUUAAGCCCUUGAAAUUGGUGUUUACGGUCCAAGAAACUCUUGGGCCGUAAACUCCUAAAGCUAUGUGUUCUUGAUUGUUUUCUAGUCUCAAAUGAUCAUACAUAUUAUCCUAAGCUAGUUACCUAACAAGGAAAUGGGACUAGAUAGCCUUUAAGCUUCAUUUUGGAGUUUACUCCCCAAGAACGUUCUUGGGCGGUAAACUCCCGGAUCUCACAUAUUUGACAUGUAAUCUAUGUUAUUAAGCAUAUAACAAGCAUUAUAAAACAACUAGAGAAGUGUACUCACGAUUUGGGAUGAAAACCCGAAGAUCCGUGAGAGAGAAAAUGGCUUUUCUCUAGUUGGAAAUGUGAAUAAUGAAUGAAUUUAGUUCAGAAAUCUAUUUAUAGUCCUGAAAUAUUUUGGCGGAAAAUAUUUUUAUUCCGGAAUUGGACUCUAACAUUAUGAAGUUUUGAAAGGCUCAAGUUUCACAAACCCAUGAGCAUCCACUCUCUUGAUAUCUCCUUAAUCAUAAACCCUAAUGUACAUGAACUUAUUCGGAAAAGUCUGAAAUUCAUUGAAACUAGACUAGCUUCUAUUGAACAGAUACUGUUCGUACAAAAUGGAAAUUUCGGGUUGUCACAUCAUCCCCCCGUUAGAAGGAAUUUCGUCCCGAAAUUAGAAUUUAAGCAAAUAUGAAGUUACAAACAAUUAAGCGAAAAGAUGAGGGUAUUUCAGUUUCAUCUGAUCCUCGCGUUCCCAAGUGAAUUCCGGUUCUCGCUUGGCGUUCCAGCAAACCUUCACGAUAGGGAUACGACUUUGCUUCGUCUGCUUGACCUCACGGUCCAUGAUCACUACCGGUUCCUCCACGAAGUUAAGGCUCUCGUUGAUCUCGAUCUCGUCGAGUGGGAUUACAAGAGUCUCGUCGGAUAAACACUUUUUCAAGUUAGAUACGUGGAAUGUAGAAUGUACGUUACGAAGUGCGUCGGGUAGGUCGAGUUUGUAAGCUACGGGGCCGACUCUUGCAAGAAUCUCGAAAGGCCCUAUGUACCUCGGAUUAAGCUUCCCACGCUUGCCGAAGCGUAUCAAGCCUUUCCAGGGUGAGACUUUGAGAAGGACUCGGUCUCCCACCUGAAAUUCCAAAGGUUUUCUUCGUUUAUCAGCGUAGCUCUUCUGUCGGUCUCUAGAGGCUUUCAAUCGUUCACGGAUCUGAACGAUUUUCUUUGUCGUUUACCGAAUGAUCUCCGGACCGGUGAGAGUACUGUCGAUAGCUUGCCCCCUAACUAAUUAGGUAUCACCUACCUCAGCCCAACACAGAGGGGAUCUACACUUUCGAUCGUAGAGGGCUUCAAAUGGAGCAGCCUUGAUGCUCGUGUGAUAACUGUUAUUAUAGGAAAAUUCGACAAGGGGUAAAUGAGUAUCCCAUGCCUUUCCAAAGUCAAUCACAUAGGCUCGCAACAUAUCUUCCAGUGUUUGGAUAGUCCUCUCACUCAGUCCGUUGGUCUGUGGAUGGUAGGCUGUGCUCAUGUCCAGCCUUGUUCCUAGGGAAUGUUGUAGUGAUUGCCAAAAUCUUGAGGUGAACCUACUAUCUCUAUCGGAGAUAAUGGACAUAGGUACACCAUGUAGCCGUACGAUUUCCCUAAUGUAUGUUCUCGUAAGUUUCUCCAUCUUGUCGGUUUCUUUGAUAGGCAGGAAGUGUGCAGACUUGGUCAAUCUAUCGACGAUGACCCAUAUGGUAUGAAGUCCACCCGUUGUCUUGGGCAACUUGGUUAUGAAAUCCAUAGUGAUCCGCUCCCACUUCCAUUAAGGAAUCUCUGGUUGUUGCGGUAAACCAGAGGGCUUCGGGUACUCGACCUUAACAUUUGCGCAAGUAAGGCAGUCUCUGGUUUCAUAUUAGGCCACCAGUAUAGCCUUUUAAGAUCCAGAUACAUCUUAUCUGAACCUGGGUGGACGGAAUACCGAGUGUCGUGCGCCUCGGUCAUGACCAAGUCUCGGAAACCACCGUGCUUCGGUGUCCAGAUCCGGUUCAUGAAAUAUAAGGCUCCGUCGCCCUUGGCUUCUAAAUUCUUGUCCAUUCCGCUAAGGGAUUCACUCGUCACAUUUUCAGGUUUCAUGGCUUCAAGUUGAGCCUCCUGAAUUUGCUUAGACAAGUGUGAAUGGAUGGUUAUUGACAAUGACUUGACUUUGCGACCAGAAUAUUCCUUCCGACUUAGGGCGUCUGCUACUACGUUGGCUUUACCCGGAUGAUAACGAAUAUCGCAUUCGUAAUCACUGAGUAGCUCGACCCAUCGCCGUUGUCUCAUGUUGAGCUCCUUCUGAUCGAAAAUGUGUUGUAAGCUCUUGUGGUCGGUAAAGAUAGUGCUCUUCGUUCCAUACAAGUAAUGUCUCCAGAUCUUCAGAGCAAACACUACUGCUCCUAGCUCAAGAUCGUGGGUCGUGUAGUUAACCUCAUGUGUUUUCAACUGUCUCGAGGCGUAGGCGAUGACCUUACCUCGCUGCAUCAGAACACAUCCGAGUCCUUGGUUUGAUGCAUCGCAAUAAACUACGAAGUCUUCUAUUCCUUCGGGAAGGGAUAGUAUUGGUGCGGUGCACAAGGCUCGUUUGAGCGUUUGGAACGCUCUUUCUUGUUUCUCUUCCCAGUCAAAGGCCACACCUUUCUGGGUUAGGGUUGUAAGAGGCUUCGCUAUUCGUGAGAAGUUCUGAAUGAACCUGCGGUAGUAGCCAGCGAGACCUAGAAAUUGACGAAUUUCUGUAGGAGUCUUCGGUGCUGACCAGUUCUCAAUGGCUUUAAUUUUGGAUGGGUCCACGUGGAUUCCCUCUUCGCUUACCACGUGUCCUAAGAAUUCGACUCUUCGGAUCCAAAAUUCACAUUUCGAGAACUUCGCAUAAAGUUUCUCCUUUCGUAAUGUCUCUAGAACUUGUCGCAGAUGAUCGCCAUGCUCUUCCUUACUUCGGGAGUAGAUCAGGAUGUCGUCAAUGAAAACGAUGACGAACUGAUCCAAGUAAGGUCGGCAUACUCUAUUCAUCAGAUCCAUGAAGACUGCGGGCGCAUUGGUCAAUCCGAAUGGCAUCACCACGAACUCGUAGUGUCCGUAACGAGUCCGGAAGGCUGUCUUCGGCACAUCCUCCUCUAGUACCCGUAACUGGUGAUAUCCGGAUCUCAGAUCAAUUUUAGAAAAAUAGUUCGCCCCUUGCAGUUGGUCGAAUAGAUCAUCUAUGCGAGGCAGAGGGUAACGAUUCUUAACCGUCAGUUUGUUGAGUUCUCUAUAGUCGAUACACAUACGGAAUGAUCCGUCUUUCUUCUUAACGAACAAGACCGGUGCUCCCCAAGGUGAGAAACUUGGUCUUAUAAAGCCCUUGCUGAGCAGUUCGUUAAGUUGACCAGAGAGUUCUUGCAUCUCGGCUGGUGCUAAACGGUUGGGCGACUUGGCUACUGGGGUAGCUCCUGGGACUAAGUCAAUUCUGAACUCGACCUGUCGUUGCGGAGGUAAUCCUAGUAGCUCUUCUGGAAAAAUGUCGGGGAAGUCGCUCACUACUGGGAUGUUCUUUAGUUCUUUCGUUUCGAGGCUCGUGUCGACGACAUGAGCAAGGAAUGCAUGGUAUUCUUUGCGCAUAUAUUUCCGUGCUUGAAUACUUGAUAUAAUGCGAAGACUCGCACCUGGUUUGUCACCGUAGACUAUAAGAGUUUCGUUAGACGGGAGGUUUAGACGGACUGCUUUCUCGUAGCACAUGAUGUCGACGCGAUGAAGACUUGACCAAUCCAUGCCGAUUAUAACGUCGAAGCUUUUUAUUGAGACCGACAUGAGGUCGAUUGGGAAUGAAUGGUUAUCUAGAGUUAGGGUACAACCUAAGUAUAUGCUAUUCGUACUUUCAGUCUUCCCAUUAGCCAUUUCUAAUUUGAAUUGUUCCUUAAGUGUGUGUGGUUGUUGCUUAAGCAUGCAAGCAAAUUUAUGGUUUAUGAAGCUUCGCUCCGCUCCACUAUCGAACAGAAUGCAUGCAUAGGAGUUAUCGAGGAGGAACGUACCAGUCACCAUUGUCGGGUCAGCAACUACUUCCCAGUGGCCUAUAGCUAGUACCCUCCCUGCUCCUCCAACAUUCUUAGCUUUGGGGCAGUCCCUCUUAAACUGGCCUGUUUCACCACAUCCAUAGCAGGUCGGGCUCGCGCCAGAGCUGGGGACUUGGGUGAUUGGUUGUGCCGGGAACUUACAGAAACGGACGGUGUGUCCCUUCCUGUUGAAGUUAGAGCACUGCAUCUCACGGCAGAGGCCGUUGUGGUGGAAGUUGCAUUUGUUGCACUUAGGCAAACUUCCAGCAUACUGCUUCAUCGGAGUAGUAGCAGCAGCGGGGGUUACUGCGGCAUGCACUGCCAUAAUUUGCUGCUUUUUGGCAGCUCGCUGCUUCUUCUUGUCAUCCCAGAACUUCCGCUUGGUGUCAGCGGGUUUGGAGGGUUCCGGGAUGGCUAGGGUUGUUGUGGUUGCAGGGGUUUUGACUCCAUGGUCAAUGAGUCGUUGUGCCAAUCGCUUGGCACUGUCGAAGGUAGCGGGGUUUGAUGCUAGGACAUUCCCCUGAUACGGAGGCACUAGCCCCCAUAUGUACCUUUCGAUCUUUUUCCCCUUAGUGGGAACCAUAUUGGGGCAGAGGGCCACCAGUUCGCUGAAUCUAGCAGUAUGAGCGACCACGUUGGUGCCCUUCAUAGUCAGGUUCCAAAGUUCCUGCUCCAAUUUCUGGACUUCGCCCCUCGGGCAGUAUUCCUCUAUCAUGAGGUCUUUCAUCGUUUCCCAGCCCAUGUCGUUGGCUACGAUGAGGGUUAGAGCUUUAACGUGGCUGUUCCACCACGUCAGGGCCUUUCCCUCAAAGGUGCAUGCAGCAUAUUUGACUUUGCUCGCAGCAGGGCAUGAACAGAUUUCGAUGACCGAUUCAGUCUUCUCGAACCAUUGCAAGAGGGCAAUGACUCUGCCGGUGCCAUGGAAAGACUUCGGCUUGCAAUUGGUGAAAUCCUUGUAGGAGCAGUCUCUCGAGCGCAUAGGGGUUUCAACCGGAAUUGAUUCAACAGGGGUUCCAACUCUGCUGGCAUCAUAUGAGUGAUACUGAGCCAUGGCAGUUGCCACUGCUGCAACUACGGCAACAUUCAGGGCUGCAGUAUCGAUGACCGGAGGCGGAGGAGGUGGUGGAGGUGUAGGGUUAUUCCUGGGAGAUUUGCGUGGAGGCAUCUUUCAGCUAUAAGUUUAUAAGGAUAAGAAAAGUGGUAAGAACCAAUUUGUAAGUAAGGUGAGAGUGACACAUGGACUAACUAACCAUAGCCCAACAGUUGAAUGAGUGUUUGAGAUCAUAACAAGGAAUAUUAGUAGGAAAAACACAAAUGUAAAGAUUUUUCCCACAGAUUAGAUGGACGUCAAUAAUACUGGUAUUACCGAUGUAAUAAGUUCAGGGAAAAUCGACCUAUCAGUAGGUCUUACAUCAUACCAUACAGAAAAGUUUGACAGUUCUUUGAUUCCUAAUUAGAGUACUAAAAGUUAGGAAUAUUUUUACAGACAAGUGGUACUUAGAGCACAGAUGUUAAAGGCUAUCCCUUAAUCAAAAGACAGAGAUGUACUAGACAUUAUCUAACGGCGAUGGGAAUUCCUCGGGCGAGCCCUGAGGUCUGACACUAGACGAAACACCUCUUGAAGGUGUCGCUCCUAAGCUCUCUGACGGGCUCGAAGUUCCAAGACUUCAGCUUGGGAGGCAGCUAGCUGUUGCUGCAGGGUUUCAUUGGUUCUCCGGGUCCGUUCCAUGUCUUCUUCAAGACGACGGAUGCGGACUGUGUUAACACCUGAGUUGGCAUCAAUCUCCAUGACCCGGUCGAUGGCUGCUCGACCUUGCUCAACAUUAUGAGCUAUUCUGCGGAUAAUGACGGGCAGAGCUCGGUCAGCAGAACCACCUUCACUGACGUUGUAAAAGCUUCGGUCCCCAAAGUAUGGUAAGGGUUGACCCUGUUCGUCACUCCAGCGAUUCAAGUUGGUUGCCCACAAGGGAGUAGGACCUGGAAAAGCUGGUCGGGGGUUGUUGUUCGGAGCUUGACCUACUAGCGGUAGGUUGUUGACUUCAGGCUCGGAGUCAGAUCCAUCAGAAAAUCCUUCUGCGAGGUGAUCAUCCAAAGGGAUUGGAUGCUCAUCUUCGGGCUCUUCUUCGAUCCACCCGGCAUUGCCUUCAUUUGGAAAGUACGGGUCGCCGUGAUGGAAUCCAGCCAUUUAAAUCUACGCGAGAAGAGAGGUAUAAGAAUAUAGUAUACAUGUAACUAGUAGUACAAAAUACACCUAUAGUAUUUUAAGUUUAAGUUCUACUGAUCUUCUUGUGGUAUUGUUGGUAAGUUUUUAGACUUGUUAACACAUCACAACCAUUCUAGGGCAUAUGCUAAUCACUCCUAGGACCAACAUAGUUGAUCAGGCUAUGCCAUUCCCAGGACUGACCAUACAUCCCCGAGCUCACUUGUGAUAUUUAACAAUCGUAAUACUUUUGUUCUUGUCAUUGUGACACUGAUUUUAGUAUGAAUGCAGACUAGUAUACUUAAUUAAAUAUUUUAAUAUUUAAAGUAUAGACUCUUGGUCAGAGUGCUUUAAUCCCUAAUGGGUUUAUAGU
rnacentral:lncRNA from 1 species